rnacentral:lncRNA from 1 species
CAGUUGGAGAUAAAAAAUUGUCCAAGAUUGAUUAAGAAAUUACCCACACACCUAACUUCUCUAGUCAAGCUUAGUAUUGAGAAUUGCCCAGAAAUGAUGGUUCCACUUCCAACAGACUUGCCUUCUCUUGAAGAGCUCAAUAUUUAUUAUUGCCCAGAAAUGACGCCACAAUUUGACAACCAUGAAUUUCCCCUUAUGCCACUGAGGGGAGCAAGUAGAAGUGCAAUUGGCAUCACCUCACAUAUUUAUUUGGAAGUUAGUGGAAUAUCACAGCUUUCCAGACUUCAGCCAGAGUUUAUGCAGUCCCUUCCGAGGCUUGAACUUCUAGAAAUUGACAAUUCUGGUCAGUUGCAAUGUUUGUGGCUGGAUGGGUUGGGAUUAGGAAACCUCUCUCGUCUUCAAAUAUUGAGUUGUGACCAACUUGUGUCCUUGGGAGAGGAGGAGGAGGAAGAGCAAGGGCUGCCUUACAAUCUUCAGCAUUUGGAAAUACGUAAGUGUGAUAAGUUGGAGAAGCUUCCACGUGGAUUACAAAGCUAUACAUCUCUUGCAGAGUUGAUCAUCGAGGAUUGCCCAAAACUGGUGUCAUUUCCAGAGAAGGGUUUCCCACUCAUGCUUAGAGGUCUUGCUAUUUCUAAUUGUGAAAGUCUAAGUAGUCUACCUGAUAGGAUGAUGAUGAGAAACAGCAGCAACAACGUGUGUCACCUUGAAUACUUGGAGAUAGAGGAGUGUCCAUCUCUUAUUUACUUUCCACAAGGGCGGUUACCCACCACCCUUAGGCGACUACUCAUAUCCAAUUGUGAAAAACUAGAGUCUCUUCCAGAAGAAAUCAAUGCGUGUGCCCUUGAACAGUUAAUUAUAGAGAGGUGUCCAUCUCUCAUUGGUUUUCCAAAAGGUAAGCUACCCCCCACUCUCAAGAAGCUUUGGAUAGGAGAGUGUGAAAAGCUAGAGUCCCUACCAGAAGGAAUAAUGCAUCACCAUUCCAACAAUACAACCAAUUGUGGUCUUCAAAUCUUGGAUAUCUUGGAAGGUUCAUCUCUUGCAUCCUUUCCUACUGGCAAGUUUCCCUCUACCUGUAAAUCUAUUAUGAUGGAUAAUUGUGCACAGUUGCAGCCAAUUUCAGAGGAGAUGUUUCACUGUAAUAAUAAUGCACUUGAAGAGUUGUCCAUCUUGAGACUUCCUAAUCUCAAAACCAUACCAGAUUGCCUCUACAACCUCAAAGAUCUCCGGAUUGAAAAAUGUGAGAAUCUGGAUUUGCAGCCUCAUCUAUUGCGAAACCUCACUUCUCUUGCAUCACUUCAGAUCACUAAUUGUGAGAAUAUCAAAGUGCCCUUAUCAGAGUGGGGCCUUGCCAGAUUGACCUCUCUUAGAACUCUUACCAUUGGUGGCAUAUUUCUGGAAGCCACCUCCUUUUCUAAUCACCACCACCACUUUUUUCUUCUUCCUACUACUCUAGUUGAGGUUUGCAUUUCAAGUUUCCAGAAUCUGGAAUCCUUGGCCUUCCUGUCUCUCCAAACGCUCACCUCUCUUAGAAAGCUAGGUGUCUUCCAAUGUCCUAAGCUCCAGUCGUUUAUACCAAAGGAAGGGCUGCCUGACAUGCUUUCAGAACUGUAUAUAAGAGACUGCCCACUCCUAAUUCAAAGGUGCUCAAAAGAGAAAGGGGAAGAUUGGCCCAAGAUUGCCCACAUCCCCUGUGUGAAAAUAGAUGGCAAAUUGAUCCUUGAGCAAUAAGAAGUUGAGAUUGCAGCAAAAUGAACGCAGAGACCACCACUAUAUGUAAGUGCUUGGUAUUUUUCUUCAAUCUGCCACAAUUCCUUUUGUCAUUUGUUUAAUUUAUUGUUCCAAAUUUAUUUGUUUAAUUGAAUUGUCUUGCAUGUCUUCCACAGUUGAAACUCAUCCAAUGGAAAAAAAUCUCCUUCACCAAUGACUGGUUUGUCAUCCAUGCUAUAAAGUCUCAUGCUUGAUGGUUAUGAAGGUUAAAAAGUCAGUAUCUCAUUGACAAAACAACAACAACAAGAACAGAUUUAAUCAAAAAGGUAAGGGAACAAUUCAUGAAGACACUAGUUGUAACAAGACUAUAUGGUCUGCCUUUAUCACCCUAUCAUAGAGAUGAAUGAUCCAUCACCCUUAAUCACAUUAUGAUUUUUUGUUGCAGAAACUGGAGUCAAUGUUAGCAAAAAAAUUGCAGAUAAAACUUUCUUGAAAGCUUUUGUAGUUGUUUGAGUCAGAACUUUAUCUGGGGCCUCAUGACAUGCCUGUCGUUAGAUUGCAUAUCUACGCAACACGCAUAGGCUAUCAAUUCCCUUUCUAUUAGAAUCAAGUACGCCCAUUCAUUAUACAUAACUUUUUUCUUCUUAAGAAUUAGUUUCAAAAUGUUCAUUUUAAAGGAAUUCCAUUUCGUGCAUGUAGGGUGUGAAGGAGAAGAUAAUGCAAAUGGAAUCCAAUUCUCUAACCACAGGUCAGCCAGUUAACGUGAGUAUACUGUAUUUCAUUUAUGAUCUUUUUUGACUUUGUGCAUUUCAAUUGCAUUGUCCUCAAUAAGCUUUCUUUUCCCAUAUAUCUCUAUAUAAAGUUCUGCCUUUUUUUUUCCUUACGUACUCAUAGAUGUGCAUUUAUCAACAUAGGCUGUGUUCUUAAUGCUUUUAAACCUAUGACUUCACAUUUUUCCAUCACGGGAUUCUACCAUGUCUUUAUAAUUUUUCAUUUAUCAACAUGAUCUUUUUUCAACUCACAGGUUUUUCAAAUGAGUGAUAAAGAAUGCAGAUUGUUAGAUAUCACUUUUUUCUUUGUCCUCUUGAUUGCACUGCAUCUUUAUUUGGAAUCGGAUAUUUCUAUUUGUAACUUGUUUUUCGUGGGGUUUUUAAUUACAUUCCUUUUUACAAUAAUUCAGGAUUGGCCAUUUCUAAAAAAUAAUUGUUCUUCUUCUUGGUCUUCUCCUCAGUUAAUGCAGGCCUCAAAUUUCUACGUCUUUGUUAUAUCUGUAGAUAAUUUUCUGGUUUGAAUUGUACAAUACACUUAAAUAAUUCAAAGUUGCAGAAGUCUUGCUGGCUCACUAAUUACCAUCUCAUGUGGAUUUGGAAGAAAGGAAAUCUGCAACUUAAGAUACAAUGAGCUAUGAUCAUUCUUACAUUUUUAAAGCUUCUUCAUUUGUAUCAUAUGUUCUGAUGGCAUUUACUUUUUCUCAUUACACAUGCAUGAGGAAGAUUUUAUGACUUCCAUUAUAAGGUUUCAAUAACUAUAUUUGCAUUUUAUUUAUUUCAAGUAGAUGCAGGGGUGAAAAUUAUUUUGCCUGUUUCUUGACAUUUGGCACUUAAAACUCUACACUGGUGUUUGGUGUUUAAAAAGGGUUACUUCAUGCAGAUAAUGAAAGUAUAAAUAGUUCUUUACCAUAAAAAAAAAGCUUCAUGGUUGUUAAGAUCCAUCUAAUUCUUUGUCCUUUUAUUGAUAUGUUCUUCAACUUGUGGAAGACUUGGAAGGGGGAGCUUGAAUUAAAUUAAGCCAACACCUUGCAAAAGAUGAAUUCUGGCUAAGAAACCUCACUACUCACAAGUUCUUUCUUAUCCAAGACUUCUACAGCAGGUAAUUUGAGAUUAUGGUCUCAUAUUUGUAUUUCUUCAUGCUGAUGCGCUCACUGAUUUCACUCUCGUGUUUUCAUCUGAUGGUGACAACUCUUCCUCCUCUAUGCAGCCAUUAUGUAAUAAUAAUCAGAGCUUUGUGUCACUGACUGUUUGUUUGGUGUUUGUUACCGUAGUGAAGGUGCUGAUCAAGAAUACUAUGUUGACUUGUUUGAGCUGAAUGUAAUGGGAAUUGCUCCAGGGAAAGGGCGUGUAUGUGAUGUUGGAAUGCUUCUUCAAAGUUCAGGCAGGCCGACCCAGUUAUGUUUGGGGAGCUUGUCGCUAGUUAAAGACUUGACAAUGAAGAAGACCUUAGCCAUCUCCUACACAAACUGGUCGGGAGUUGGAGCCGUUCCCCUGAUGAGUCCAUGGCAGGACGAAACCAGUCAGCAUAGUGGGAUUGAAAUGCAUGGUGUGCAGGCUGAUCCCCUUUGAUUCUUGCCCAUGGGGUUGCCGCAUGGGCCAUGCCGCUGCGUUGGAACUCUAGGCUCGUGAUAUCUGUCUUGCUUGAGUUCAAGCGAAGCUUUCUGAUUGAUCAACAUGCUUCUGAUUAUCCUUCUGCUUAUCAAAAAGUUGCAGCUUGAAAAUGUGAAGGCGAAGGUAGUGAUUGCUGCUCAUGGAUUUGGUAGAGUGUGACAAUGACACUGGUCAUGUGAUUGGCCUUAACCUUGGCAGCAGCCGUCUCUGUGGUUCUAUCAACUCCAGCAGCACCUCUUCCACCUUGUGCAUCUUCAAGGGCUUGAUCUUUCUGAUAAUGAUUUCAGUUACUCUAAGAUCCCAUCUGGAGUUGUCCAGCUUUUUAGUCAAGAAAUCUAAACCACUCGUCUGGAGCUCUUAGUGCUGUCCAAACUGGUUGUCCUCGAUCUCUCACAAAAUCCAUUGAAGCGCCAGUAACCUGACCUGGCUUCACAUGCAGGGGUGAGAAGCAUUUCCUUCUUGUAAUACAAAAUGCUUUUGGGAGGUUGGUUGUAUCAUUCCUGGUGAAUGGUGAUUUCCCCUGUCAAAUUGGUACACUUUCAGACUUGAUCUCUUGCAUAUCAUUGGAGAACCUUUGUCUUUUUUCUUUUUCCUCAAUAUUGUCUUUAGAAAGAUUUUAACUAAAAGUAUUGUGCAAUUUCAUUUGAAAAAAUUUUCAAAUCCUCCUCUGUGCAGACCCCUGAUAUUAGGAAUAUGGUGGUUUAUGUUGGAAUACACGUUUUUCUCUCUAAAUCCUUGAACCCAGUGUAUCAAUAUCUCAGACAUUUCUUUUUGUUGACAGAUAUAUGCUGGAAAUAUGAUAGGGUGAUGAAGGCCAAGGAACCACUGUGGUGUUGAUUUGGAGAUCAAUCAGUGAAAGGUUCAGAUGAUUUCUUUUCUAGUUUCUUCUGAUUUAGGUAGAUUAAGAGGUAUCCUUAUGGUUGCAAAUUCUUCUGACCUAAAGCUUAAGCGAUCCUUUGGUGAAACAAAACAUAAUCCAGGAACAUUCCCUCCUUCAGUCACUGUUGCUAGCUUUCAGGAUGCUGACAGCAUUUACAGUAGUAAUAAAUAAAUGGUACCCUGCUUUCCGUAGUGAUCAUGUUAGAGUAGGAUUUUUUUUAUUUGACCUCUACAGGUGGCUUUUGCUGAGAAGUAAAAGUCAUUACUCAGGGCAGGUUCCUUUUCCUGAACCUGAGCAUUUUUUACUGAAGAUGAUGAAUUGAGACUGGAAUCUACUUCCAUUUUUGACAACCCGGGAAGGUAACAUUUUUCAAGCAAUGGCAUAAACAAUCUGUGGUGUUGGUCCAUCUUUCCUAAAUUAAAUAUUUUGUGAUGGAAGUAGGUUACUACAACUUGUUCUUUGUUUCUGCCAACAAAACUGAUGUGCUGGAUUGGAGUUGAGGAUUUUUUUUUUAUUCCUUCAUAAUUGUUUGAGUGUGUUUGUGAUUCAUUCUUGAAUGAUUUUCUUCCCCUUUUACCUGAGUUUACCAAUAUGUUAGACUCUCCUAGGGAACAUGUUCAUACACUAGAUUGUGGACAAUAAUAAUAAAUAAAAAUAUUUAAAUGAAAGCAUGUCAGAUCUUAUAUCCCUAAAAUGAUCUUCUAUUUGCAACUAAAGUAGCCUCAUUUCGAACAUUGUGAGUAAAAUGGGCUUGUUUCAGUUUUUAGAACAAAGCUGAAGGAACCUUCAUAAUUUCAUUCCAUGGAGUCCUCAAUCAAACCCUAAGUUUUCUUAAAGAUGAGGUUUAUAGUAGGUGAGAGGAGGGGUAAUGAUUUCAGAAUGUUCUGCCUGUUUGGAGCCAUUUAUGUUUCCCUCGGUUUUCUUAAUCUAAUCAUUUGUGUCUUGUCAUAUAUAUUUUUAUUCAGUUCACAGUUGAAGUAAUGUAAAUCACUGAUUGCUAGCUUGCUUCACACAGAUACAUGCAAGUCACUGAAGCUAAAUGAAGGUCGUGUUUUGAUGUUUUCAUGUAAACUUGGAAGGAUCACGAUGUAAUACCUCAAAAUGUCAAGAAGUAAGUAAUAUCUGUCCUCUGCAUGUACAUUUUAGUGUUAAUCAUUUCUCAUUAGUAUCUAGGAUUCUUACUUGAUAGUUAAAGAAGUUCGCAUUUCAGUUGUGUCUUGUAGAUCAUGCUUUUGGAAGCUAGUCACAACCCCAAAGCUGGAGUGCUUCAUCUAUAUAUGUCCCCUGUGAACUCCCAAUUCCCAAACAGGGCAUUGUAUAUUGUAUGCCUAUCCUAGAGUUCUAUCAGAUGGAUGGAAAGCCAAUCAUGAAGAAAUAUAAAAACAAGGCUGUCUUAUGUAUAUGGGUUGCAACCUGCUGUUCUGUGGGACAAGCGAUCCAAUAGUCAAGAGGAAGGUAGUUGCUGAGAAUGAAUAUGGAAGAGAGCAUUUAUAGAAAAUUUGAAGUUCAAAAACUUGAGGACCAGAUUACCUGUCGAACUUGAGAAAAGGGCAUAUCAAACCACACUCAAAACAAGUGAAAUAUUAUUUGUCUGAUGAUGUUGACUUGAGACAUGGGUGGAGUAUUGAGGAUCAUUCACUGAAUUCCUAAUGUAAAACACAAGCAAGUCUUGCCUAUAUCAUUCAUGGUUGCUGGAUUUGUUGUUCAUUGUAUUUAUCACAAAGCUACCUCUUAUUCUCAACAAAUCAUUUACCUUCAAUCGGAAAUUCAUAUUCUUGUGCUCUAUAAUUUUGUUUGGUUGUAAGUUAAAAAGAAGAAAUUGAAAGAAAAACUCGUAUUGUUUGGUUGCGAUUAAAUUUGUUUUCAGGUUUAUUUUAAAUUUUUAUAUAAUUUUUUUUAAAAAGAUGUAAGAAUAAUUUAGUAUUGUUUAAAUACAUUUAUAUUAUAAAAUAUGAGAUUCUAUACUACUGUGGUAACUUGUGGAUGAUCAUCCAUAAAUAUCUUUUAUAACUCUUUAUAAAAGGGAGAGACCCCUAAUGAAAUUGUAGAGAGUUAUCUUGUGCAUUCUAUUUUUUUUUUUUUUUCUUCUCUCACUUUGUUUUACAAUAAUUUACUAUUUUUUAUUUUUAAAUUAAAAAGUAAAAAAAAUUAUAUAAGAUACAAGAAUUUUUAGAAAAUUAUAUUUAAAAAAUUAAUAGUAUUAAAAAAUUAAGGUUUAUUUUUGUAUUUUUUCAUAUUUUAAUAUUUUUAAAAGUAAUUUUUAAAAAAUAUAAGACAAAUUUAUAUAAAUAUAAAGUGUUCUACUUCUAUAUAGAUAUUUAUAAUUUUUUAAAAAUAGAAAAUAUAUUAAAUGGCCUAAACUUGUAUUUAAAAACAAAUUUAAGAAAACAUGGUUAAUUGGGUCAUUUUUUCUUUUUAUUUUUAAAAAUUGAGAAAACAAUUUUUUUUAAAAUUAUUUUUUAUUUUACUUUAUUUUUAAAAAUUACUUUUAGAGAACAAUUAACAAACAUUAUUAGAAAAUUUAAAAAACAGCUUUCUAUUUUUUAAAAUAGAAAACUGCUUUUAAACCACACGUCCAAAUAAAUUCUUAGCUUUUUAUUUUAAUUCCUUGAAAACAAUAUUUUAAAAUAAAAAUUAAUAUUAAGCUAAUAAUAUUAUUUUCUCAACUUAUCAACAUUUAAAAGUACUGAAAUCUAUUCAGAAAAUCAUUAAUAAUAAAAAUCACAAAUAUUAAAUGUGUUAAGGGAAAAUUCUAGGGUACUUCCUAUGGUAUCGUACCCAAAAGUUUUUAAGCCAUUGGAUGUCCAAGAUUACAUCUUGGUCAUCCAUUUUAAAUUUGAAAUAAAAAUUCCACUUAACCGGUUAAGGGAAGAACCGGUUGUGGCCUUCCACCGUCUCCUUUAAUUUCUUCCUUUAUUCUCAACAAUUUUGGAUUUAAAUAAAAUAAAUCUGAGAUAAAUAUUGAGAUAAAAAUAGAAUUGGAAAAAAAUAAAAAUAAAAUUGAUAUAAAAUUUGAAAACGUAUUUAUUAAUAAAAAAAUCAUCAUAUAUCAUGAUUACAUUAUUUUAUUUUUAACAAAUUAUUAAACAUUUAAAUUCAACAUAAAAAUGAAUAUGAUAAUAUCUUAAUAUGAAAUAAGUAUUUUCAGUAAAAUUCGACAUUUAGAUAAUCAUAUGUAAAGCUUAGGUAAUUACAUCAUCCUAAUUUUAUCCGUACUCUCAAAAUUUUACAUUUUUUGAAUUUAAGGUUUUUAAAUUUAAAUUACAAUAAAAUAAAUUACUAAUACUCUUUUGAGUUACUAAUGAUAGUAUUUUAGAAAAUAAAUUUGUAAUUUCAAAAAUUUGAAAACUAAAAAUCAAUAUGAAAAAUGUGAUUAAAGUACCAAACAUGUAUUUAUCAUGGUUUUAAAAAUGAGAUCGGACUGGCUGGUUCAAACAAUAGCCGGUCACGGUUCCGAACCGGUUUGGUUAAUUAGACUGGAAAUAGAUUGAACCAGGAUUGAACCGAUUGAACCAGGAUCGGUCCGGUUGAACCGGUGGUCCGACCGGUGAAUCAGUAUUAAUGCUUUUGACAUCAAAACAACGUCGUUUUGGAGGAUAUAAAGCCUCAUUCUCCAAACCCUCCCUUUCUAAACUGCAGCUGCAGCCCGCCCCCAACACGCCGCGAUAGGCUCCCAUUGUUGGUCGUUUCAUCGUGCAAAGUCUCCCUCCACCGGCCUUUGCAAGAUCACCGUCGCUUGAGUCGCAUUUUCCCCGUCACGCUGUUGCGAGUUGGCAAGCCACCCCCUACCGCUGGAACCCCAGCUGUAAACCCUCUCCGACAGGCUGUAACCUCCCUCCCUCCCGGAUGUAAACCCCCCCACCUCCCUGCGCUGUAAAGCCCCCCCCUUCCAAUCUUGCCUUCCUUCCAUUUUUGUUUUUAAAAAUUUAAUUUUUAUGUUUUAUAUUUAAUAUCUUAAUAUUUAAUUUCUUAAUUUUUUUGUAGAUUAUAAUUGUAAUGAUAGCUUUAAUAUUUAAAUUUUUCAUUUUUAUUUUAUUUAUUUCACAUUGAAAUUUUAAUUUAUUGAAAUUAUUGAAAAUAUUGGGUUGUUGAUGAUAAAAUUUAGAUAGAAUUUAUUAUUUUUAUUUAUUUAUUUUUAAUUUUAAUAAUUAAUAUAUAUAUAUAUAUAUUAAAAAUUUUCAUUUUUAUUUUAUUUAUUUCACAUUGAAAUUUUAAUUUAUUGAAAUUAUUGAAAAUAUUGGGUUAUUGACAAUAAGAAAAACUUUAUAAAAAAAAUCAAUAGAUAUUAUUAAAUUUUAGAUAUAAUUUAUUAUUUUUAUUUAUUUAUUUAUAAUUUUAAUAAUAUAUAUAUAUAUAUAUAUAUAUACUGGUUCGACCGCCAAUCCAAUCAGUGAACCGUGAACCGGUAACUUUUUCGGUUCGAUGACCGGUCUAGUUCUAAAAACAUUAGUAUUUAUCAUAUUUUUCGUACCCUAAAUUAUUUAUAUUUUUAAAAUUUUAGAUUUACUUUUUAACUUGAAAUGACAAUAACAUAGUUUAAUAAUAUUAUUUUAAGUUAUUAUUGAUAGAAUUGUUACAAAAAAAAAUUAAAAAAAUUAAAAAUUGGAAAUGAGGUAAAUUAUCCUUAAAAAAAUUUAGAAAAUUAAAACACUAAAAAAUUAGGAAGGAUACGAAAAAUGUGAGAAAAUGUAUGAAGAUUAUGAGGAAUCUUUAGAUUCUCUGUACCCUUCUUCACAAUAAUAUUGUUUAUUGAUACCAAUUAAGCUUAGAAAUGAUGAAAAUUAUUUUUAAAAAAAUAAAAAAUUUAAAACACUAAGUAAUCGUAGAGGGUACAAAUAAUGUGAGCAAUCCUCACAUUCUUCAUACCUUACCUCACAUUCUCCGUAUACUGAAAUUUAACAAAUUUUAGAAUUUUUUUUCCACUUAAAAAUACAAAUAAUAUUGUUUAUUGAUACUAAUCAAGCUUAGAAAUGAUGGAAAUUAUUUUCAAAAAUAAUUAAAAAAUUAAAACACUAAGUAAUUGUAGAAGGUACGAAUAAUGUAAGGAAUGGUACAAAGAAUGUGAGGAAUCCUCACAUUCUUAGCACCCUCUAUCACAUUCUCUUUACCCUCGAAAAUGUUACAAAUUUUCAAACUUUUCAAUUUUUUUUUUCCAUAUGGAAAUACAAUAAUAUUGUUUAUUGAUACUAAUUAAGCUUAGAAAUAAUGAAAAUUACCCUUAAAAGAAAUUAAAAAAAUUAAAGCAUUAAAAAUUUGGAGAUGGUACGAAGAAUGUGAGGAAGGGUACAAAGAAUGUAGGAAAUUCUCACAUUUUUCGUACCCUUCCUCACAUUUUUCAUACCAUUUCUCACAUUCUUUAUACUCUUGAAAUUUGACAAAUUUUCGAUUUUUCCACUUAAAAAUACAAUAAUAUUGUCUAUCAAUACUAAUUAAGCUUAGAAAUGAUGAAAAUUAUCCUAAAAAAAAUUUUAAAAAAUUAAAACAUUAAAAAAUUGGAAAAGUACGAAGAAUGUGAGGAAGGGUAUGAAGAAUGUGAUGAUUGAAGAAUGUGAGAAAUCCUCAUAUUCUUCAUACUACUUUUCACAAUGUUUUGUACCCCUUCUUACAAUGUUCGUACCCCAUCUCAUAAUGUUUGUACCCCCUCACAUUGUUCGUACCUCAUCUCACAAUGUUCAUACAAUUUCUCAUAAAGUUCGUACCCUAUCUCACAAAGUUUGUACCCCAUCUCACAAAGUUUAUACCCCAUCUCACAAAGUUCGCACCCCUUCUCACAAUGUUCGUACCCCUCUCACAAUGUUCGUACCCCAUCUUACAUUGUUUGUACAUCAUCUCAUAAUGUUCGUACCAUCUCUCACAAAGUUCGUACCAUAUCUCUUAAAGUUUGUACCCCAUCUCAUAAAGUUCGUACACCACUAUCACAAAUGUUGUAUCACAUUUCACAAUGUUCGUACCACAUAUCACAAUGUUCGUACCAUCUCUCAUAAUGUUUGUAUCCCCUCUCAAAAAGUUCGUAUCCCUUCUCACAAAGUUCAUACUACAUCUCACAAAAUUCGUACUCUCUCAUAAUAUUUGUACCCUUUCUCACAAUGUUUGUACCCCAUCUCACAUUGUUUGUACAUUUUCUCAUAAUUUUUGUACCAUUUCUCACAUUGUUCGUACCAUCUCUAACAAUUUUUUGUACCCCAUCUCACAUUGUUCGUACACCCUAUCACAAUGUUCGUAUCCUCUCUCACAAUAUUUGUACAUUUUUUUUUACAUUAUUCGUACCCUCUUUUCACAUUGUUUGUCAUUCUUCUCACAUUGUUUAUACCCUCUUUAACAUGACAUUUCCACCUACAAAAUUUAUAUUUAAAUAAAAAAAAAUCAAAUUUUAACUUUAAUACUUGUAAUCAAUUGGAAUCCUUCAUAUAAUAUCUUUUCAAGAGACAAAAAUUAUUGUUUUCCUUCUUCAAGAUAUAUAAAACUUCAUCUUCAAAUUUAAUCUAUGAAUGCACAAAAUAAUAACAUAAAAAUAUUGAUGACGAUUUCAUAACAAAUGACUAAAUUGUGUCAAAUUGAUUAAUAAUAACUCAUAAAAAAAUUCAAAAAUCUAAAUGUUAUAAAUCAUUACAUAAUUAAAUGUCAUUUAACAUGACAUUUCUACCUACAACAUUUAUAUUUAAAUGAAAAAAAAAAUCAAAUAUUACCUUUUAACACUUAUAAUCAUCUUCCUCAAGAUAUAUAAAACUUCAUCUUUAAAUUUAAUCUAUGAACACACAAAGAAAUGAUAUAAAAAUACUAUAAAAAAGAUUAAAUUAUCUUAAUUUGAUUAAUAAUAAACUCAUAAAAAUGCUAAAAUUUAAAUUUUAUAAAUCAUUGUAUAUUCGGUAUUUAACAUAAUAUUUCUACCUACAAAAUUUAUAUUUAAAUAAAAAAUUAUUAAAUAUUACCUUUGACACUUGUAGUCACUUGAAAUCCUUCAUCUUCUUCAUAGAAUACAAAUUUUAAAUUUUCUUCCAAAUUUGAUUUAUCAAAACACAUCCCACAUAUUUUGUAAUAUGGUAGUAUUUAAUUUUCAUAUUAAAUUAGAUAAUACUUUUUUGUAUAUAUGAAUAAUGAGAUUAUAAGGGUAGUUGAUAAGAUUUUUUUAGAUAGAGUUAGGUAGUUCAUUAAAUAACAAAUUAUAUUUGAUAUUUAAUAAUAAAUUAUGAAAAAAAAAGUCUUAAUAUUUGGAUAUGUAUGAACAUCAAUAGGUUACUUUUUUUGGGUUUAAUAAGUUUUUGUAAAUUUUAUAAUGACAUGCAUUUUAUACGUGUCAUUUUAUUAUAGGGGUGAAAUGUGGGUGGUAACCCGAAAUAAAGAGUGGGUACCAAAGAACAACCCAUGUGUUUAGAAUUUAUAAAAUUAAAAAAACCAUCCAAACGGCACAUUAGUGCGGAGCUUCGAUAAUUGUGGAGGCAGUCACGGACGCCCUGCUCUUCUUUUUAUUCAGCCGUGUGCCAUGGCGGCCAUCGGAAUGCUACGCGUUUCCCCCUUUACUCUCUGAUUGCUGAAGCUUUCACAGCACAAAACCUCUUUCAUUUGGCGUAUGACAUGGAGGACAUCUUGGACGAGUUUGCUUUCGAAUUGAUCAUGAGAAGGAGCUGAUGGGGGCGGAAGCUGAAGAAGCCAGCACAAGCAAGGUGAGCAGGUUCAUUCCUAGUUUCUGUACUUGUUUCAAUCCAACUCAUGUGGUGCGUAAUGUUAAGAUGGGGCCCAAAAUUGGAGAGAUCACCAGCAGAUUACAAGAUAUUUCAGCUAGAAAAGCUGGACUUGGCCUGGAAAAAUUAAGAGGAGCAGCAGCUACUUCCGCUUGGCAAAGGCCACCACCCACUACACCUAUAGCAUACGAACCUGACGUUUAUGGCAGGGAUGAAGAUAAAACACUGGUUCUUGAUUUGCUGCGCAAGGUUGAGCCCAAUGAAAACAAUGUCAGCGUUAUUUCCAUUGUUGGCUUGGGCGGGGUGGGCAAGACUACGCUCGCACGGCUGGUUUACAAUGAUGAUUUGGCCAAAAAUUUUGAACUAAAAGCGUGGGUUUGUGUGACUGAUGUGUUUGAUCUGGAGAAUAUAACAAAGGCAAUUCUCAAUUCGGUGUUAAAUUCUGAUGCAAGUGGGUCUUUGGACUUCCAACAAGUUCAAAGGAAAUUGACAGACACGUUAGCAGGGAAAACUCUUUUACUCAUUCUAGAUGACGUGUGGAACGAAAAUUAUUGUAAUUGGGAUCGUUUGCGGGCUCCUUUGAGUGUAGUGGCAAAAGGAAGCAAAGUCAUAGUUACAACAUGCAAUAAAAAUGUUGCAUUGAUGAUGGGAGCUGCCAAGAAUGUUCAUGAACUAAACCAUUUAUCCGAAGACGAUUGUUGGUCUGUGUUUGAGAAGCAUGCAUUUGAACAUAGAAAUAUCAAUGAUCAUCCGAACCUGGAGUCCAUUGGUAGGAAAAUUGUUGCCAAAUGUGGUGGAUUGCCACUAGUAGCAAAAGAGCUUGCUGGUCGAUUACGCUCAAAGCAAAGGGAAGCCGAAUGGGAAAGCGUAUUGAAUAGCUAAAUGUGGGAUUUGUCAAGCGCGGAAUGUGAGAUUCUUGGUGCGUUGCAGUUGAACUAUCACAAUCUCCCUUUGUUGAAAUUAUAAUCUGACUUAAAGUCAAAUUAGAAGAAUUUUAGGAAUUUGAGAAAUAUUAGGAAUUGUUAUUUAUUUAAGUUUCUUAUGUUAAUCAGGACUUGGGUCUAAUAGAAAUUGAAGUCCUAAUACAAGUAUAAUUAGUUUAUUGUAAAUAGGCUUGUUAUUAUGUUGAAAAGUGAAAUGUAAUAAAAUUUUAUUUUUAACAAAGUUGCAAACAUUAAGGGGUGAAUUUGAGUCUCUUUGCAUGAAUGACUCUAAAUCUAUCUCAGAUUACUUUGAUUAGGUACAAACCAUUGUUAACCAAAUACAGGUUAAUGGUGAAAAGCUUGAUGAUCAACAAAUAGUAGAGAAAAUUAUGUGCUCUUUAAGUGCAAGAUUCGACUAUGCUGUUGCAGCAAUUGAAGAAGGAAAGGAUAAUUGUUCUUCUCCUUGGUCUCCUCCUCAGUUAGUGUAAGCAUCAAAUUUCUACCUCUUUGUUAUGUCUGUGGAUAAUUUUCUGGUUUGAAUUGUAAAGCACACUUAAAUAAUUCAAAGUUGCAGAAGUCUUGCUGGCUCACAACUUACCAUCUCAUUUGGAUUCCCAAGAAAGGAAAUCUGCAACUUGGGAUACAAUGAGCUAUGAUCAUUCUUACAUAUUUAAAGCCUUCUUCAUUUGUAUCAUAUGUUCUGAUGGCAUUUCCUUGUUCUGAUGGCAUUUCCUUUUUCUCAUUAGAUAUACAUGUGGAAGAUUUUUUGACUUCCAUUAUAAGUUUUCAAUAACUAUUGUUGCAUUUCAUUUUAUUUCAAGGAGAUUCAGGGGUGAAAUUCUUUUGCAUGUGUCUUGACGUUUGCCACUUAAAACUCUACAAUGGUGUUUGGUGUUGAAAAAGGGGUACUUCAUUGCAGAAUAAUGAAAGUAUAAAUAGUUCUUUACCAUAAAAAAAAGCUUCAUGGUUGUUAAGAUCCAUCUAAUUCUUUGUCCUUUUCUUGACAUGUUCUUCAAUUUGUGGAAGACGUGGGAGGGAAAGCUUGAAUCAAAUUAAGCCAACUCCUUGCAAAAGACGAAUUCUGGCUAAGAAACCUCACCACUUACAAGCUCUUUCUCAUCCAGGAAUUCUACAGCAGGUAAUUCGAGAUUAUGUCUCAUCUUUGUAUCUCUUGAAGCUGAUGCACUCACCGAUUUCACUCUCAUGUUUUCAUCUGAUGGUUACCAACUCUUCCUCUUCUACACAGCCAUUAUGUGAUAAUAAUCAGAGCUCUGUCUUGCUUGAGUUCAAGCAGAGCUUUCUGAUUGGUCAGCAUGCUUCUGAUGAUCCUUCUGCUUAUCCAAAUGCUGCAGCUUGGAAAUCUGAAGGAGAUGGUAGGUACUGCUGCUCAUGGGAUGUCGGAGAGUGUGACAAGGACACUGGCCAUGUGAUCAGCCUUAACCUUGGCAGCAGCCGUCUCUUGGUUCUAUCAACUUCAGUAGCACCUUCUUCCGCCUUGGGCAUCUUCAAGGGCUUGAUCUCUCUGAUAAUGAUUUCAAUUACUCUAUAUCACUUCUGGAGUUGUCCAGCUUUUGAGUCUAAGAAGUCUACACCACCCCUUUUCCAGAUGCUCCGGCCAAAUCCCAUUGAAGCUCUUACUUAGAACUGUCCAAACUGGCUGUCCAUGAUCUCUCACAAAAUCCAUUGAAGCACCAGUAACCUGACCUGGCUUCAGAUACAGGGGUGAGAAGCAUUUCCUUGUUGCAAUACAAGCUGGUUGUAGCAUUCCUGGUGAAUGGUGAUUUCCCCUGUCAAUUUGGUGCACUUUCAGACUCAAUCACUCUUGCAUGUCAUUGGAGAACCUUAAUAUUUUUUUGUUCUUCCUCAAUAUUUUGUUUUUAGAAAGAUUUUAACUAAAAGUAUCUUGCAAUUUCAUUUGAUUUUUUUUUUUAAAUCCUCUGCAGACCCCUAAUAAUAGGAAUAAGGUGGUUUAUGUUGGAAUACAUAAUUUCUCUUCAAAUCCUUGAACCCAGUGUACCAGUUUUUCAAACAUUCUCUUUGUUAACAGACUUAUGCUAGAAAUAUGAUAGGGUGAUGAUGACCAAGGAACCACUUUGGUGUGGAUUUGGAUAUCAAUCACUAAAAGGUUGGGAUGAUUUCUUUUUCUAGUUUCAUCUGAUUUAGGGUAGAUUAAGAGGUAUCCUUAUGGUAGCAAAUUCUUCUGACCUAAAGCUUAAGCGAUCCUUUGGUGAAACAAACAUAAUCCAGGAACAUUCCCUCUUUCAGUCACUGUUGUUAGCUUUCAGGAAGCUGACAGCAAUUUUUACAGUAAUAAAUAAAUGGUACCCUGCUUCCAUAGUGACCAUGUUAGACUAAGAUUUAAUUCAUCAACCUCUACAGGUGGCUUAUGCAGAGAAGUAAAAGACAUUACUCUGGGGAGGUUCGUUUUCAGGGUUUCUGUGUGGGAUGGAUGGACCUAAACUCGAGCAUUUUAGACCGAAGGUGAUGACUGGAGACUGGAAUCUACUUCCCUUUUUGAAACCUGCGAAGUUACCAUUUUCAAGCAAUUGCAUAAAAAAUAUGUGAGGUUCAUGGUUGAAGUAAUGCAAAUCACUGGGUGCUUGCAUGCUGCACAGAGGUUGUGUUUUCUCAUAAACUUGGAAGGGUCACAUUGUAGUGUCGAUCAUUUCUCAUUAGCAUCUGGCAUUCUUACUCGAUAGUUAAAAAGGUUCACAUUUCAGUUGUGUCUUGUGGAUCAUGGUUUUGGAAGCUAGUCACAACCCAAAAGCUGGAGUGCUUCAUCUAUAUAUGUCCCUGGUGAAAUCCCAAUUCCCAAACAGGGCAUUGUAUAUUGUAUGCCUAUCCUAGAGUUCUAUCAGAUGGAUGGAAAGCAAAUCAUGAAGAAAUAUAAAAACAAGGCUUUCAUAUGUAUAUGGGUUACAAGCUGCUGUUCUGUCAGACAAGUGGUCCAAUAGUCCAGAGGAAGGUGGCUGUUGAGAAUGAAUAUGGAAGAAGAGCAUUUAUAGAAAUUUUGAAGUUCAAAAACUUGAGGACCAGAUUACCUGUAGAACUUGAGAAAAGGACAUAUCAACCACACUCAAAACAGGUGAAAUAUUAUUUGUCUGAUGAUGUUGACUUGAGACAUUGCUCUUAUUGCCAACAAAUCAUUUACCUUCAAUUGGAAAUUCAUAUUCACGUGCUCUAUAAUUUUGUUUGGUUGUAAGUUAAAAAGAAGAAAUUAAAAGAAAAACUCACAUCGUUUGGUUGCGUUUAAUUAUUUUUUUUAGGUUCAUUUUUAAAGUUUGAAAUAAAUUUUUUUUAAAAAAAUAUAAGAAUAGUUUACUGUUGUUUAUUUUUUUAAAAUUAAAAAAGAAUAAAUUUUUUUAUAUAAAAUACAAUAAUUUUUUUUAAGAAUUGCAAUAAAAAAUUAAUUCUCUUAAAAAGGGUUUAAAAAAUUAAUGUGUAUUUUUUUAUUUUCUCUUAUCUUAAUAAUUUUUUAAAGUAAUUUUUUAAAAAAUAGAAAAUAUAUUGAAAGGGUUACUUAGCUUUUUAUUUUAAAUGCUUUAAAACAAAAUUUUAAAAUAAAAGUUAAUAUUAAGCUAAUAAUAUUAUUUCUUAAAUUAUCAACAUUUAAAAUUACAGAAAUCUAUUCAGAAAAUCAUCAAUAAUGAAAAUCACAAUUCACAAGUAUUAAAUGUGUUUAAUAUUUAUAAAAUAAAAAUAAAUAAAUAAAUAAACCAUCCAAACAGCAUCUUAGUGCGGCGCUCCAAUAAUUAUGAAGAGCUGUCAUGAAUGGCAUGCUUUGCUUUUACUUGAGCCGUGGCCAUGACGACCUUGGAAUCCUACGCGUGUUGACCCGUUUACUUCGGAUUGCUGAAGUCUUCACACCACACAAUUUCCAUCCUCCCUUCUCUACUCUCUGCUCUUUGUUUGCCUUUGCUGAACACCAUGGCAGUUGUUGGAGAGGCUCUUCUUUCCGCUGCCUUUGGCUCGUUGUUUGACAAGUUGCGUUGCUCUGAUCUGAUUAAGCUCGCACGGCAGGAGCAUGUCCACACCGACCUCAAGAAAUGGGAGAAGCAGUUGCAGAGCAUCCGGCAAGAGAUCAACGACGCGGAGAAGAAGCAGAUCACACAGGAGGCUGUCAAAUCAUGGCUGUUUGAUAUGACGGUUUUGGGAUAUGACACGGAGGAUAUCUUGGACGAGUUUGCUUACGAAUUGACGAGGAGAAAGCUGAUGGGAGCGGAAGCUGAAGAAGCCAGCACAACCAAAGUACGCAAGUUCAUUCCUAGUUGCUGUACUAGUUUCAAUCCAACUCAUGUGGUGCGUAAUGUCGAGACGGGAUCCAAGAUUAGAGAUAUCACCAGCACAUUACAAGAUAUUUCGGCCAGAAAAGCUGGACUUGGCCUAGAGAAGGUGACAGCAGCAGCAGCUACUUCCGCUUGGCAAAGGUCGCCACCCACUACACCUAUAGCGUACGAACCUGGGGUUUAUGGCACGGAAGAGGAUAAAAAAGUGAUCCUCGAUUUGCUGGGCAAGGUUGAGCCCUAUGAAAACGAUGUCGGCUUCAUUUCCAUUAUUGGAAUGGGUGGGGUGGGAAAGAACGCUCGCGCAGUUUGCUUUGGUGAAAUAUGCUUUUGUUUGGAAGAUAACUUGGAAAGUAAUCGACAAUCCACAAUUUCUAAAGAGACUCGUCAUUCAUCGUUCAUUCUUGGAAAAUUCGAUGUGUUCAAGAAAUUUGAAGCCUUUCAAGAGUUUGAACAUUUACGGACAUUUGUGGCUCUACCAAUUCAUGGUACGUUUACAGAAUCUUUUGUAACUAGUUUGGUGUGAGAUCAUUUGGUGCCAAAAUCUCGACAGUUAAGAGUCCUCUCUUUGAGUGAAUGUAUGAUAUUUGAGCUACCAGAUUCUAUUGGUGGAUUAAAACAUCUGCGUUAUUUGAAUUUGUCUUUCACCCAAAUCAAAUUAUUGCCAGAUUCAGUGACCAACCUCUAUUAUUUACAAACAUUGAUACUAUCCAAUUGUGAGCAUCUUACCAAAUUUAAUUAGCCUUAGACAUCUCAAUGUUGUUAGUUGUUCAUUGCAAGAGAUGCCACAGCAAAUAGGCAAAUUAAAGAAAUUGCAAACAUUGUCUGAUUUUAUUGUGUCCAAAAGAGAAUUUUUGGGAAUAAAGGAGUUGAAGGAUUUGUCACAUCUGCGGGGGGAGAUAUGUAUUUCAAAAUUGGAAAAUGUUGUGGAUGUUCAAGAUGCUAGAGAUGCCAAUCUAAAAGCUAAGCUCAAUGUUGAAAGGUUGAGUAUGAUUUGGAGUAAAGAAUUGGAUGGUUCACAUGAUGAAGACGCUGAAAUGGAAGUCCUUCUCUCUCUACAACCUCAUACUAGUUUGAAGAAACUCAAUAUUGAAGGUUACGGUGGUCGGCAAUUCCCCAACUGGAUAUGUGAUCCCUCUUACAUUAAAUUGGUGGAGUUAAGUCUUAUUGGUUGUAUAAGAUGCAUAUCAGUACCUUCGGUUGGGCAACUACCCUUCCUCAAGAAGUUAGUCAUCAAAAGAAUGGAUGGAGUGAAAAGUGUGGGGCUGGAGUUUGAGGGCCAAGUUUCUCUUCAUGCUAAGCCUUUCCAAUGCUUAGAGUCUUUGUGGUUUGAGGACAUGAAGGAAUGGGAAGACUGGUGUUGGUCAACAAAGUCAUUUUCUCGCCUCCGUCUGUUGGAGAUAAAAAAUUGUCCAAGAUUGAUUAAGAAAUCACCCACACACCCAACUUCUCUAGUAAAGCUCAGUAUUGAGAAUUGUCCAGAAAUGAUGGUUCCACUUCCAACAUACUUGCCUUCUCUUGAAGAGCUCAAUAUCUAUUAUUGCCCAGAAAUGACGCCACAAUUUACAACCAUGAAUUUCUCAUUAUGCUACUGAGGGGAGCUUAAUAUCAGGGCUUUCCAGACUUCAGCCGGAGUUUAUGCCGUCCCUGCUGAGGCUUGAACUUCCAGAAAUUGACAAUUCUGGUCAGUUGCAAUGUUUGUGGAAGGAUGGUUUGGGAAUAGGAAACCUCUCUGGUCUUCGAAUAUUGGGUUGUAAACGACUUGUAUCCUUUGGAGAGGAGGAAGAGCAAGUUAUAAUACAUCUCUUGCAGAGUUGAUCAUCGAGCAAGUUAUAAUGCUUAGAGGUCUUGCUAUUUCUAAUUGUGAAAGUCUAAGUAGUCUACUUGAUAGGAUGAUGAUGAGAAACAGCAGCAACAACGUGUGUCACCUUGAAUACUUGGAGAUAGAGGAGUGUCCAUCUCUUAUUUGCUUUCCACAAGGGCGGUUACCCACCACCCUUAGGCGACUAUUCAUAUCCAUUGUGAAAAUCUAGUGUCUCUUCCAGAAGACAUCGAUGUGUGUUCCCUUGAAUAGUUAAUUAUAAAGAGUUGUCCAUCUCUCAUUGGUUUUCCAAAAGGAUAGUGGGCUGUAAAAAGCUAGUCUCUGAAAGUUUGUAUCAGGAAGAUGAAAAUCUAGUUUCUGUAUAUUAAGAGGAAGAAAUUACAUGUCAUGGAGAGGUUCUCUACUCUGCUAUUUAUAUUUUCUACUGUAACAAACUACGUUACCAAACUCCUACUUGCACAGUUCAAACUACAUUACCAGAUUCCCAACUACUUGCACAGUUCUUGAGUGAUCUUGGUUUUGUUGAGUUCUGUUGCUGGUGCAGUUGUGGUCUAUCAGUCUCUACCAGAAGGAAUAGUGCAUCACCAUUCCAACAACACAACCAAUUGCGGUCUUCAAAUCUUGGAUAUCUUUCAAGGUUCAUCUCUCGCAUCCUUUUCUACUGGCAAGUUUCCCUCUACCCGUAAAUCUAUUACGAUGGAUAAUUGUGCACAGUUGCAGCCAAUUUCAGAGGAGAUGUUUCACUGUAAUAAUAAUGCACUUGAAGAGUUGUUCAUCUCGAGAGUCCCUAAUCUUAAAAUCAUACCAGAUUGCUUCUACAACCUCAAAGAUGUUCGGAUUGAAAAAUGUGAGAAUCUGGACUUGCAGCCUCAUCUAUUGCGAAACCUCACUUCUCUUGCAUCACUUCAGAUCACUAAUUGUCAGAAUAUCAAAGUGCCCUUAUCAGAAUGGGGCCUUGCCAGGUUGACCUCUCUUAGAACUCUUACUAUUGGUGGCAUAUUUCAGGAAGCCACCUCCUUUUCUAAUCAUCACCACCACCACUUGUUUCUUCUUCCUACUACUCUAGUUGAGCUUUGCAUUUCAAGUUUCCAGAAUCUGGAAUCCUUGGCCUUCCUGUCUCUCCAAACGCUCACCUCUCUUAGAAAGCUAUAUGUCUUCCAAUGUCCUAAGCUCCAGUCGUUUAUACCAAGGGAUGGGCUGGCUGACAUGCUUUCAGAACUGUAUAUAAGAGACUGCCCACUCCUAAUUCAAAGGUUCUCCAAAGAGAAAGGGGAACAUUGGCUCAAGUUUGCCCACAUCCCCUGUGUGAAAAUUGAUGGCAAAUUGAUCCUUGAGCAAUAAGAAGUUGGGAUUGCAGCAAAAUGAACGCAGAGACCACCACUAUAUAUAAAUGCUUGGUAUUUUUCUUCAAUCUGCCACAAUUACUUGUUUCAUUUGUUUAAUUGAAUUGUCUCACAUGUCUUCCACAGUUGAAACUCAUCCAAUGGAAAACAUUCUCCUUCAACAAUGACUGGUUGCUAUCCAUGCCUGUCAUUAGAUUGCAUAUCUACACAACACACAUAGGCUAUUAAUUCCCUUUCUAUUAGAAUCAAGUACGCCCAUUCAUUAUAAGUAACUUUUAUGUUCUUAAGAAUUAGUUUCAAAAUGUUCAUUUUAAAGGAAUUCCAUUUCGUGCAUGUAGGGUGUGAAGGAGAAGAUAAUGCAAAUUGUGCAUCUCAAUUGCAUUGUCCUCAAUAAGCUUUCUUUUUCCAUAUAUCUCUGUAUAAAAUUCUGCCUUUUUUUUUCCUUACGUAUUCAUAGAUGUGCAUUUAUCAACAUAGGCCGUGUUCUUAAUGCUUUUAAACCUAUGACUUCACAUUUUUCCAUCACAGGAUUCUACCAUGUCUUUAUAAUUUUCCAUUUAUCAACAUGAUCUUUGUUCAACUUACAGGUUGUUCAAGUGAGUGAUAAAGAAUACAAAUGGUUAGAUAUCACUUUUUUCUUUGUUCUCUUGAUUGCACUGCAUCUUUAUUUGGAAUUGGAUAUUUCUCUUUGUAACUUGUUUUUCUUGGGGUUUUUAAUUACAUUCCUUCUUACAAUAAGUCAGGAUUAGCCUUUUCUCUAAUUGUUCUUCUUCUUGGUCUUUUCCUCAGUUAAUGUAAGCAUCAAAUUUCUACCUCUUUGUUAUAUCUGUAGAUAAUUUUCUGGUUUGAAUUAUACAGCACACUUAAAUAAUUCAAAGUUGCAGGAGUCUUGCUGGCUCACAAAUUACCAUCUCAUGUGAUUCUGAAGAAACGAAAUCUGCAUCUUGAGAUACAAUGAGCUAUGAUCAUUCUUACCUUUUUAAAGCUUCUUCAUUUGUAUAAUGUGUUCUGAUGGCAUUUACUUUUUCUCAUUACACAUGCAUGAGGAAGAUUUUAUGACUUCCAUUAUAAGUUUUCAAUAGCUAUAUUUGCAUUUCAUUUGAUUUCAAGUAGAUGCAGGGGCAAAAAUUCUUUUGUAUGUUUCUUGACGUUUGGCACUUAAAAACUCUACACUGGUGUUUGGUGUUGAAAAAGGGGUACUUCAUGCAGAAUAAUGAAAGUAUAAAUAGUUCUUUACUAUCAAAAAAGGCUUCAUGGUUGUUAAGAUCCAUCUAAUUCUUUGUCCUUUCAUUGACAUGUUCUUCAACUUGUGGAAGACUUGGAAGGGAGAGCUUGAAUCAAAUUAAGCCAACACCUUGCAAAAGAUGAAUUCUGGCUAAGAAACCUCACCACUCACAAGUUCUUUGUUAUCCAAGAAUUCUACAGCAGGUAAUUCUAGAUUAUGGUCUCAUCUUUGUAUUUCUUGAUGCUGAUGCAGUCACUGAUUUCACUCUCGUGUUUUCAUCUGAUGGUGACAAAGUCUUCCUCUUCUACACAGCCAUUAUGUUAUAAUAAUCAGAGCUCUGUCUUGCUCAAGUUCAACCAGGGCUUUCUGACUGGUCAGCAUGCUUCUGAUGAUCCUUCUGCUUAUCCAAAAGUUGCAGCUUGGAAAUGUGAAGGCAAAGGUUGUGAUUGCUGAGAGUGUGACAAGGACACUGACCAUGUGAUUGGCCUUAACCUUGCCAGCAGCUGUCUCUAUGGUUCUAUCAACUGCAGCAGCACCCUCUUCCAUCUUGUGCAUCUUCAAGGGCUUGAUCUCUCUUAUAAUGAUUUCAGUUACUCUAAGAUCCCAUCUGGAGUUGUCCAGCUUUUGAGUCUAAGAAGUCUAAACCACUAAUCUUCCAGAUUCUCCAGCCAAAUACCAUUGGAGCUCUUAGUGCUGUCCAAACUGGUUGUCCUUGAUCUCUCACAAAAUCCAUUGAAGCACCAGUAACCUGACCUGGCUUCACAUGCAGGGGUGAGAAGCAUUUCCUUCUUGUAAUACAAAAUGCUUUUAGUAAGCUGGUAGUAUCAUUCCUGGUGAAUGGGUGAUUUCCCCUGUCAAUUUGGUACACUUUCAGACUUGAUCUCUUGCAUAUCAUUGGAGAACCUUUAUCUUUUUUCUUUUUCCUCAAUAUUUUGUUUUUAGAAAGAUUUUAACAAAAAGUAUUGUGCAAUUUCAUUUGAAAAAAAUUUCAAAUCCUUUUCUAUGUGAAAUUAUGGAUCUUUAGUGUUCUGCAGACCCCAAAUGUUAGGAAUCUGGUGGUUUAUGUUGGAAUGCAUAAGUUUCUCUUUAAAUCCUUGAACCCAGUGUACCAAUAUCCCAAACAUUUCUUUUUGUUUACAGACAUAUGCUGGAAAUAUGAUAGGGUGAUGAAGGCCAAGGAACCACUUUGGUGUUGGUUUGGAGAUCAAUCACUGAAAGGUUCAGAUGAUUUCUUUUUCUAGUUUCUUCCGAUUUAGGGUAGAUUAAGAGGUAUCCUUAUGGUAGCAAAUUCUUCUGACCUAAAGCUUAAGUGAUCCUUUGGUGAAACAAAACAUAAUCCAGGAACAUUCCCUCCUUCAGUCACUGUUGCUAGCUUUCAGAAGCUGAUAGCAUUUACGGUAAUAAAUAAAUGGGACCCUGCUUUCCAUAGCGAUCAUGUUAGACUAAGAUUUUUUCAUCGACCUCUACAGGUGGCUUAUGCUGAGAAGUAAAAGUCAUUACUCAGGGCAGGUUGCUUUUUGGGGUUUCUGUGAAUGAUGGAUAGACACGAGCUUGCGCAUUUUUUACUGAAGAUGAUGAAUCGAGACUGAAAUCUACUUCCAUUUUUGACAGCCUGAGAAGGUAACAUUUUUCAAGCAAUGGCAUGAAAAAUCUGUGGUGUUGGUCUAUCUUUCCUAAACUAAGUAUUUUGUGAUGAAAGUAGAUUACUACAACUUGUUCUUUGCUUCUGCCAACAAAACUGAUGUGCUGAUCGGAGUUUUAUUCCCUCAUUUAUAUUUGUUUGAGUGUAUUUGUGAUUCAUUCUUGAAUGAUUUUCUUCCCCUUUUACCUGAGUUUACCAAUAUGUUAGACCCUCCCAGGGAACAUGUUCAUACCCUGGAUUGUGGGAGAUAAAAAAAAUAUGUCAUCUUGGCAUACCAGUGUAAAAUUAUUUUAAAUGAAAGCAUGUCAGAUCUUAUAUCUCUAAAAUGAUCUUCUAUUUGCAACUAAAGUAGCCUCAUUUUGACCAUUGUGAGUAAAAUGGGCUUGUUUCAGUUUUUAGAACAAAGCUGAAGAUUCCAUGGGGUCCUCAAUCAAACCCUAAGUUAUCUUAAAGAUGAGGUUUAUAGUGGGUGAGAGGAGGGGUAAUGAUUCAGAAUGUUCUGCCUGUUUGGAGCCAUUUAUGUUUCCCUCUGUUUUUUACACUUUUUUGAAGCUGAAACCGGCAGUGUAAAGAAAUUUAUCUGAUUAGAAUGUCGCCUUCCUCCUCUUUUUUUUAAUCUAAUCAUUUGUCUCUUGCCAUAUAUAUUUAUAUUCAGUUCACAGUUGAAGUAACGUAAAUCACUGAGUGCUGGCUUGCUUCAUACAGACACAUGAAAGUCACUGAAGCUAAAUGAAGGUCGUGUUUUGAUGUUUUCAUGUAAACUUGGAAGGAUCACGAUGUAAUACCUCAAAAUGUGAAGAAGUAAGUAAUAUCUGUCCUCUGCAUGUACAUUUUAGUGUUAAUCAUUUCUCAUUAGUCUCUAGGAUUCUUACUUGAUAGUUAAAGAAGUUCACAUUUCAGUUCUGUCUUGUAGAUCAUGCUUUUGGAAGCUAGUCACAACCCCAAAGCUGGAGUGCUUUUCUAUAUAUGUCCCCUGUGAAAUCCCAAUUCCCAAACAGGUCAUUGCAUAUUGUAUGCCUAUCCUAGAGUUCUAUCAGAUGGGUGGAAAGCCAAUCAUGAAGAAGUAUAAAAACAGGGCUUUCAUAUGUAUAUGGGUUACAACCUGCUGUUCUAUCAGACAAGUGAUCCAAUAGUCCAGAGGAAGGUGGUUGCUGAGAAUGAAUAUGGAAGAGAAUUUAUAGAAAAUUUGGAGUUCAAAAACGUGAGGACCAGAUUACUUGUAGAACUUGAGAAAAAGGCAUAUCAAACCACACUCAAAACAGGUGAAAUAUUAUUUGUCUGAUGAUGUUGACUUGAGACAUUGCUGGAGUAUUGAGGGUCAUCCACUGAAUUCUUAAUGUAAAACACAAGCAAGUUUUGCCUAUAUCAUUCAUGGUUUCUGGAUUUGUUGUUCAUUGUGUUUAUCACGAGUGACUGAGUAAAGCUACCUCUUAUUGUCAACAAAUCAUUUAGAAAUUCAUUUUGUUUUUUUAUUUUUAAUAAUUGAGGAACCUUCCAUAGCCAAGCCCUUAGAACUCUCCUAGGGACCCAAACCUCGUGGUGUUGAUUGUCCUGCUACGACCAGUGCCAGGUAUUGGUGUUUGUAAUUUUGUGUUGGUGUGGUCAAUGUUCUGAAAUUCCAAGUUGAAUUGUAUAAAUACAAAUUAAGAAUGGAUGCUAGCAUUGCGGAAGUGGCCCUAAUGCUAGUGUUGGAGCCUUGGAGGUGAUGUUAGCAAUUAAGAGUAGUGUGAUGAUAUUGUUUUUAAUAUCCGAGGAUUAAUAUAAAUACCUUUUCUUGUAACCCUAAUUUUAGAGUAGUGAAAAUCUUUAACCCUAUUCCCGUGGACGUAGACAUUUUGUCGAAUCACGUUAAAUCUAUAUAUUUUUCUUUUAUUUUUAAAAAUUUCUUCACUAGAAAUUGCUACAAGAAUUACAACAAUUGGUAUCAGAGCACCAGGUUUCGAUGUGUAGGAUUUCUUCUGUGAAGUUUGACAUAGUAAAGCUCGAUGGAUCUAGGAAUUUCGAUCUAUGACUUAGGAGGGGUAAGGAUUUGCUAGUAUAGCAAGAUGUGAUAAAGACAUUAUGUAGAAAGCAACUAAAAGAAAUGAAUGACAUAGAUUAAAAGGAUUUGGAAGCGAAGAUUGUGGUAACUAUUAGGUUUGACUAAUAAUGUGACGUACCAUGUCAUGGAUGAGGAAUCACCGCAACAAUGUGGUAGAACAUGAUUAACUAGCUCUUUUUGGAUAAGGAUUUGGUUUUAGAAUAUAGAGAUUUUUUUUGGCAAGAUCACAACAAUAUGGAAUUGUAGGUGUAUGUGACCAUCAUGCCACAUGUUGGAAUAUUUAUAAAGUAAAACCCUAGAGUUUUUUUUUUAUGGGAGAAUUGUGUUUUAGGCUCAACUGGGCCCAAAAAUUAACAUUUGGUCCUCCAACCAUCCAUAUUUAAGCCCAAGAUCCAAACAAAGUAUGAAAAUUAAGAUGAAGGAUAUUGUCUUUCAUUAAUUCCUAAAAUACCCUUAUCCCUUAUAUGCCUACAAGUGAGUGUGAAUUUUAAUUUUUUUUGUGUUUGUUUUCCUUUUCUAUUCCCUAUUAAAUAUUACUCAUUUCUAACUUUUUUUUUUCCUUUUUAUUUUGAAUAUAUAUUUCUAUUUUAUGUCAAAUAAAAAGCAAUAAUAUUUUUUUAUUUUUCAUUUUUAAAGAUAUUAAAUUUUUUUGCUCUUAUUAAAAGCAAUGAUAAAAAUUUUGGGAUUUUUCAUCCAAAUAUUUUUUUAUCUUUUUGUAUUUAUCUUUUAGUUUAAUUUUCAUUUUUUAUUUUAAAUUUAUAUACCCUUUCAUCUAUAUUUUUCUCUUAUUUUUAAUUAUUUUUUAUAUUUUCUACAUUAACCAUAUUUUAAAAAAAUUUAAAAACUAUCACUUCACUUUAUUAUAUAUAAAGCCAUGGGUCUUAAUAUGCAAGACAACGGAAUCUAAGAUGUCUGCAUCUCUUAUUCUAACUGUGAAGUUAGGAUAGCAUUGGAAAUAGACUGGGUCAUCAUUCAGUCCAGCUUGGACUGCGCCUAUAAUAGAAUCUCGAUAUUCGAGAUGCCUAUUAUCCCUUAAACACAUGACAAUAGAGGUGUUUAAACCUAAUCUUGUCAAAGGCUUAGCUACUACUUGAAUCAUACCAAAGUGUAUGAAAUUAUAGCCAUCUCUCUUAUGCUUAUCAAUGGAUCUGUUAUCUAAAAGUCUUAUGACUUGGUCGUCUUGUUCUAAGUUGACUGACAUUUUAGAGGUCUUAAUGGUAUAAUCUGUGAAGAACUUAAAGGUUCCUUUCUUAUAAAUUUCUUGAUUAGACACCUUGGGUAACUUCCAAUCAUCUAAAUCAUUUUGGAUCUUAGGAUAAUUGAUCUGUUCACUGUUUACAACAGUAUCUUGAGAAUCACUGGAUCUCCUAGACAUGGUUCUGAAAAUUGAACUCAUUUUAGGGUUUUUGAUCUAGAGCCUAAUAGCAGAUUGACAGACCUUAUGAGACGUCACCCCAACCCUCUUACAGCCUAACAAACGCCUAUCCACGGCUAACAACGGCUCAACCGGCAGGGCUCGCGCUCCCAGGCACACUGCUACCUAUCCUAGGAUAGGCCAAGAACACCCAAAACAAGACCCAACUUCCCUCCCACAUGGCUCUGAUACCAUAGACACCCAGGACAAGGUCAUAUGCAAUGAAAACAUAAAUUAUGCCAUGAUUCAAAACAAAGAAGAGGGUUAGAAAAUACAAAAGAUAUCCAACAAAGAAAUUUAAAGAGAAGGAACCAAAAAACUUGUUAGUUCAUAAUAAGCUUAAAACCGACCAUGUAGGCGGUAUAAAAUGAAAACAUAAAAUUAAAAACAAAGCUUAAUUAAAACCGACCAUGUAGGCGGUACAAGAACAUAAAAUGAAAAACAAAACUUAAAAAACCAUCCAUAUAGGAGGUAAUCAAAACAUACUUAUAUUAUACAUAAGGAGAAAUAUCUAACAAUGGACAGGGGUAGGAAAGCUUGAAGAAAGCUUGAAAGCUUGAAGGGCUUACAUGAUGAGAGAGAAAGAAGAGAGAAGGGAGAGCAUAAGCUUAGGAGAGAAAAUUUAAGUGUUCUUACAAAUGAGGACCUUGCCUCCUUAAAUAGGCAAAAAGGAAUCUUGAAUAGUAACCAUGAACAGUAGACCCGUGCUUGAAUAGUGAAUAGUGAAUAAUAAGAUUCACUUUUAUACCGAAAAACCCUCUUUCGGCUGAGAAGACUUCUGGCAAGUUGCUUUAUACUGUGUAGACACAUGCUUGCUCCUUUUGGAACAGAAACUGCAAAGCUUGUAAAAUACUCUUGAUGGAAGACAAAAGGCUGAUGAUUACUUAGAUCUUCUUAUUGGAGGAAGGAUUCCUUCACAGUCAUCACCAUUGUCUGGAAGGUAGCUUGUUGAAUCAUCAGAUUCUGCAUAAGAAUUUUCUUGGGAGAAACUUGAGCUUCCCUCUUCAAGGAUUUUCUGGAAAUCUUGAGGGGUCUUGGCUGCUGCGAGCAUGGCUUGUAACUGUUGCUUUUUAAGGAGGAACUGAGACAUAUCAUCACUGGCUGAGACUUGUGUGGGGUUCUGGAGGAAAUACUGCUUAACUAUAUCAAUAGAUGCAUCAUUUUUUAAGGCAUCCCACCAUUUAGUUUUAAAGGUCCUUCCCAGAGAUGGAAAGGCUGCUGAUUCAUCUAUAAUGAUUAUAUAGUCCCACUGGACUAUCCAAGCAAGGCCAAAUUUGCUGAAGAAGAAUAGUGAAGGGGGAAAAGCUGAAAGUUUCCUAGGGAUAUCAAAAGAACUUCUGAAUAGCUCAAAGCCAUCCAGGAUGGGCUUAGGAAGAAUCUUAAUAGUCGAACCAUAAUAAUUCCACCAACUGUAGAACCAAAAUGGGAAAGAGGAAAGCUGAUUCUUAGAUGGAAAAUAGAAUAUCCAUGAAUAAUGGAAGUCCCUAUUCUGGAUCAGAAAAACAUUAAACCAUGCUCUCUGAUAAUCCCAAUAAUUAAAAAACCUUGGCUUUGAUGGUUCAGAAAAUUCCCUUGAAAGAUUAGGAUUUCCUCCCCAUUGCUUGACAGUAAGAAUUUUAUAGAUAUGGCAGGUGGAGAAUGCCAAACCCAUAUUGCUGAAUUUGUCUGCAUUAUGCUUAAUUUUAACAGAACCAGUUUCUGUAAGGACUGCUUCAUAAAAUUCUCUUGUUUUUAAAAUAUCACCAGAGAGAUAAUGAAAAUUUUCUUGAAAAGCUUUUGCAGCAAUUUCUCUGGGGUUUUCAGAGAAAAAUUCUCUUUCAAUAACCAAAAGAGGUUGAUUUAAAUCAUUUUGCCAAUAUCUUGAUUUUGUUGAAAGAGGUGUGGGGUUGGUAGCCACCACAAUUUGCUUGUUUGAAAAAGAGGAGCUUGAUGCUAAUUCCUUUUGAGAGGGAUUAGCCUUAAUGACUUGCUUGAAGGUCUGAGACCCUGAAAUGGUUGGAUACUGAGUGGCCUUGACUGGAUUGCUUUGAUUGAUUCAAGAGCAGCUAAAAAUUGUCUUCAAGAAGGUCUUGUACCUAUUCCUUUAUGCGAAGAGACUAGUCAGUCUCUAUUUGGAGCCAAUGGCAAAAGACUUGCCAUUAAGUAUAAAUUAACAGAUGUUCAUAUCCGUAACCAUGACAUCUGUAUUAAGCAAACAUUUAUCCUUGUUAAGGAUCUUAAGGAAAAAGCCCUUCUAGGAAUACCCUUCUUAAGCUCUAUUUAUCCCUUAUGGGUAGAUAACCAAGGUAUAAGAACAAAGCUUUUUGAUAAGGAAAUUCUUUUUGAAUUUGCUAAUCCUGUUGAAAACGUCACUCUUUGUGAUCAAGAAAUUAAUCUUGUUAGAAUAGAUGAUCCACCUAAGAUAUUAGGUACCCAAUUCAUUCAUAAUCUCAUUAUAAAUGAUAUUUUAAGCAUUCCUUUAUGCAUUUCAAAAUUUCAAACUGAUAUUUUGAACCAAGGAAUUUUAAAAGUUGUUUUCACAUCUGAGAAAACAAUUAAGUAUAUAGUUUUUAAGUAUAAUUUAAUUGAUUGGAUUAUUUUAAACCCUAAUUUUCAAAUCAAGUUUAUUAAAGGAGAAAGUUUCAUUCCUAAUCACUCAACUCAUGAAAUUUGCAGGGUUCACGAGACCAUGGCCCCUAAAAAGAAUACCCAAGCUCCUAGCCAGAAAACCCAACCCAGUCAAGCUCCUUCUCCCCAUAAAAUGCUAUGGAGCCAACAAGUUGAAGAAGAAGAAGCAAGGCUUCAUUCUUCUAAACCUAUGCUUAACAAGAUGAUGACCUUGUACUAUGAUCAUUCCGAUCCAGCUAAUCCAGUCAAGGUCACUCAGUAUCCAGCCAUUUCAGGGUCUCAGACCUUCAAGCAAGUCAUUAAGGUUAAUCCCUCUCAAAAGGAAUUAGCAUCAAGCUCCUCUUUUUCAAACAAGCAAAUUGUGGUGGCUGCCAACCCCACACCUCUUUCAACAAAAUCAAGAUAUUGGCAAAAUGAUUUAAAUCAACCUCUUUUGGUUAUUGAAAGAGAAUUUUUCUCUGAAAACCCCAGAGAAAUUGUUGCAAAAGCUUUUCAAGAAAAUUUUCAUUAUCCCUCUGGUGAUAUUUUAAAAACAAGAGAAUUUUAUGAAGCAGUCCUUAUAGAAACUGGUUCUGUUAAAAUUAAGCAUAAUGCAGACAAAUUCAGCAAUAUGGGUUUGGAGAAUAUAUAUAUAUAUCUUUUUAGCUUUUUAAUUUUUAAUGUUUUUAUUUUAAAAAUUUUAAAAAGAUAAAUUUGUUGAAAAAAAAUAACUAAGAUAUGAAGUUCUAAUAUUAUAUUAAUAAUUUUUCUUAUCUAGAUAGACUAAUGCAAAGUAUUUUGACCUACAACAAGAAAAUUAUCAAUACAAUUUUUUAGUUAAACUUUAAAAAUUAAGUUUCAAAUAAAAUAUAUUAUAUAAAAUUUUAUCUAAAAAUUAUUGAAAGCGGUAUUUAAUUUUUUUAUUUAUUGACUUUUAAACUUAUCUAAUUUUUUACUUGAAAGACAAUAGAACAUGUUUACAAAAAAAAAAAAAAAAAGUUUUUCAUUUUUUAAAUAAAUGAGUAUAAAUAUAUUAAAAGAAUUAAAGAUAAUCUUAGUAAAAAUUUUGAUAAAUAUGAUUAUAAUUUUAAAUAUAGAUUAAUUUGGAUAAAAUUUCACAAAAAAAAUAGUGAAAAGAAAGAACAUUGCUAAAACUAUAAAAACAAAAUAUACAAUUACAAAAUUUUGAUGAUGAAAUUUAAAAAUAAAAUUCGAAACAAUUCUUGAGUGAGAGAAUUUGAGUGGGGGGAAAAUCUGAGUGGAAAAAAAUAGGAAAGUUUUUCAAAAUCACUUGAAAUCCUUAACAAAAAGUAGUCGUGUACACUCUUGUACAAUUAGUAAAUUUGUCUUAUACAGUUAGUAUAAUACCCUUGUACAAUAACUCAAAUAACUCAAAAUUUUAUUUCUUAUGUGUUAAUUUUUAUAGGGAAUGUCUUAAUGAAAUAGUUUGAUAAAAAAAAAAAAAAAAAAAACUAUCAAUAAUCGUCUUAAUAUCAAAUUCAAGCUGUUUAAAAAUCGUACAAAACCUAUCAGGAGCUUUGUACACCCUUGUACACUUAGCACAUUUCCCUUGUACAAUUAGUGUAAUACCCUUGUACAAUGACACAAAUUUCAUAUUUUUCAUAACUUAAACUUAUUUUCAAAAAGAGACAAUAUAGAAAACAAAAAUAAAUAAAAAUAAAAACUAGAAAAAUAUUUUAAAACCAAACUCAAAUAUAAUCUAUAUAAUUUUUAGUUACUUGUUUUCAUCUAAAACAAGUAAAUAUAACUUUCAACCCUUUUAUAUAUAUAUAUAUAAAAAAAAAAUCAAUCUCUACUAUGUAUUGAUAUAAUUCACUUCUAAAAUUAGGUCAUAUGAAAAUAUUUUAAUUGAGUACUUAAAAUAAAAACUCUCAAUUCAUCCCCUUUCUUUAUUUUUCUUUUUCUUAUUUUAGUAAUUUUCAAUUAAUUCAAAUCAUAAAAAAAAAAAUCCUUAAUAAACAAAUUUAUAGCAUUUCAUAUAACUUAUUACUAUAAGUCAUUUCAAAAAGUUAUUAAAAUAAGAAAGGAAGAAGAUUAAAAAAAAAUUGAACUUUUUAUUUUAUAAUAGUAAAAAAAAACUUUAAAAUACUUUUUAGUAUAAAAAAAAUUAAAAUAGUGAAUAUCUUUAUUUUAAAUGGUAUUUUAAUCAUUAAAUUAUUUACUUCUAAAAUGUAAACGAUAAAAAUAAAUGUAAAAGACAAUUUUUAUUUAUUUAAAUUAAUAUUUUUUUAGAAAGUAUUUUCCAAAAUAGUAUUUGAAUCAUUAAUAUAAUUUUUGUUUAUUUAUAAUUUAAAAAUAAAAAAUAAUGUAAUUUUUCAAUUAUUUAUAAAAGAGUUUUAAAAAAAUGAAAAAUUCAAAAAUGGUUAAAUAAGAAAGAAGAGUGACAAAUAGUAGACUAAAGACAAAAAUGAGUCAAGUGGGUAUUUUUGUCAAUUACUAUCUCAUAUCAUUGGGCUUAAAUAUGGGUGAUUUGAGGAUCAAAUGUUAAUUUUUGGGCCCAUCCGCACCCAAAACACAAUUUUCUUUUUUUUCUUUUUUUUUUAUUUGGUAAAAGAAAAGAUUUUUUUUUCACUUUCUUCAUUGAUAAAAAGACCAGCCACCUAAAUUGACUUGUUUUUGGCCUUUUCUUCCCUCAAUUAUGGCCGACAAGAUCGGUGUUGAUUUCAAGGUCACUAAUAAAAUUGAGUUUAAGACCAAAAUAAUAUAUUUGUAAAAAAAAUGAUAAGAAUAGUAUCCAUUUGAAAAUAUUUGUCAAAAUAGUCUUCUUUAUCUACGUAAGCAUCCACAUGGAUUUUAAGUGUAAAAAACCACCGUUGGUGACUGUGGUUUUAGAACUUACAAAAAUUUCCUUAAAACCACAGUUACUAACUGCGGUUUUAAAAGAAAUUUCCUUAAAACCACAGUUACAAACAAUGGUUUUACAAUUUCCCUUAAAACCACAGUUACUAACUGUGAUUUUACAAUUAUUUUUAAUUCGUCCCCAUUUUAAUGGUGUUAUAAUUUUAAUAUUAUUUUUAAAAUAUUUUUUUUUAUCAAAACAACCAUAAAACCACAAUUACUAACUGUGGUUUUACUAAUGGUGUUAUAAUUCAAAUUAGUGAUGUUAUGUUAUUCACAUGUUUCCUUGAUAAUUUAAACAAAUAAAACUGAAAUGCAUCCUAAAGUCUAAAUGAAAGAAAUUCUAACUAAAUAAAUUAUUACAACCAUUACCUAUUUUUCUUUCAUAUAAUUAAAAAAUUAUACAUUUUAACCAAGACAUAAGUUCAAAUCAUACUUAAUAAUAAAUAACCUAAAAUCAUAAUCAUUGGCAUUAAUUUUCAUAUGAAAAUAUAAAAUUUUAAAAUAAUAUAAACAAUUUCUUUAGUUAUUUUAAAAUUUAAAAAUAAUAUGAAUAAAUAAUUUUCUUUAGUUCAUAUGUGAAAAUAUUUGUAAAACAAAUAAAUANNNNNNNNNNNNNNNNNNNNNNNNNNNNNNNNNNNNNNNNNNNNNNNNNNNNNNNNNNNNNNNNNNNNNNNNNNNNNNNNNNNNNNNNNNNNNNNNNNNNAAAAUAUAAAAUUUUAAAAUUAUAUAAACAAUUUUUUUAGUUAUUUUAAAAUUUAAAAAUAAUAUGAAUAAAUAAUUUUCUUUAGUUCAUAUGUGAAAAUAUUUGUAAAACAAAUAAAUAUUUUAUUUCCUAUAAAUAUAUAAAUUUUUAUGGGAAUGCAUGUAGACCAAAUUAUUUUCUCAAAUUUUCAUGGAAAAUAUGAAAAAAUAAAGAUAAUAUAUAUAUAUAUAUAUAUAUAUAUAUAUAUAUAUAUAUAUAUAUAUAUAUAUAUAUAUAUAUAUAUAUAUAUAUUUUUAAAAGAGUCGUAACAAAAAAAUUUGUGAAAAGCAAAGUUCUAAAAUCCCAUACUUUUUUAUAUAUGAGUUUCCUUAAAAAUAUUUGUGAAAAUUACAACACAAUUAUAAUUUUGAUAAAAAAAAUAUUUUAAAAAUAAUAUUAAAAUUACAACACCAUUAAAAUAGAUGCGGAUUGAAAAUAAUUGUAAAACCACAGUUACUAACGGUGGUUUUAUGGGUAUUUUGAUAAAAAAAUAUUUUAAAAAUAAUAUUAAAAUUACAACACCAUUAAAAUAGAUGCAGAUUGAAAAUAAUUGUAAAACCACAGUUACUAACUGUGGUUUUAUGGUUAUUUUGAUAAAAAUUAUUUUAAAAAUAAUAUUAAAAUUACAACACUGUUAGUAAAACCACAGUUAGUAACUGUGGUUUUAUGGUUGUUUUGAUAAAAAAAAUAUUUUAAAAAUAAUAUUAAAAUUAUAACACCAUUAAAAUGGGGACGGAUUAAAAAUAAUUGUAAAACCACAGUUAGUAACUGUGGUUUUAAGGGAAAUUGUAAAACCACAGUUUGUAACUGUGGUUUUAAGGAAACUUCUUUUAAAACCGCAGUUAGUAACUGUGGUUCUAAGAGAAAUUGUAAAACCACAGUUUGUAACUAUGGUUUUAAAGAAAUUUUUGUAAGUUCUAAAACCACAGUCACCAACGGUGGUUUUUUACACUUAAAAUCCAUGUGGAUUGCUUACGUGGAUAAAGAAGACUACUUUGACAAAUAUUUUCAAAUGGAUACUAUUCUUAUCAUUUUUUUUUACAAAUAUAUUAUUUUGGUCUUAAACUCAAUAAAAUUGGCCUCUCAAAGACUAGGUAGGUAACUAACUAACAAAAGAAAAGGUGCCUUUCAUUUCCCAUUCCAUGCAACAAAUAAAAAAAAAGUAGCCAAUUAAUUUGGGUUGUGUACUUGGGUUUUUAUUUAUGGCCAACCACUUAAAGACUAUUUAGAACAUAAGAUAUGGGACUCUAAAUCCACUUGCAGAAUCAUCCAAAAGAUUGCUUGAGAAAAUCCAUUUAUGUAGAUUGAAGCCCUCUUAUUAUUAUAAGGUUUGCUCCAAAUAAAAUGACUCUUCAAGGUAAAUAAAAAAUAAAAAAAAUAAAAUAAAAAAUCCAAGUAUAUGGUUUUGGACUAGUAAUAUUUGGAGCAAAUCUUAUAGUAGAGUAAUAUUCUAACUAGCAAAUUGUUCAUCUCCAUCAAGAUAGGGUAAUAUUGUAAAUAAACAAAAGAAAAACGAUAUCAUUUACAUAUAAAAUUAUGUUAUAUUCUAACUCAAACCUUAGAGGAAGGGAUUAACAUUAAAGUAGAAUAGGAUCUAUUUGUCAAUUGUCUUUUUUGUUUUCAAGAAUAAAAAGGGAAAAAAUAUGUUUGAUAAUUACAAAACAUAAAACAAUUUUUUUGUUCUUAAAAAAGGAAAGUAAAGUGACUUUUGAAAACAUAUUUUAGUUAUUUUUAGUUAUUUUAUAAGGACCGCUUUAAAAAAUAAUAAUUGAAAAUAAAACAUUACACAUAAAUUUUAUUUUUAAAAAUAUAAAAAAAGAAUUUAAAAAAAUGUUAAUUUUUCAAACAAACUUUUGUUCAAAAAAACAUUAUAAAAUUGUUUUCAAAAACUAUUUUUUGAAAACAAUUUUCAAAUUCAUUUUCAAACAACUAAUAAGUUUUUCAAUUCAUUAUAUUUUUUUAUAUAAAAUAAUAGUAAUAAUAUAAAAAAUAUGAAUAUUUUAUUUUAUCCUAAACCAAAUGUUAAUAACUAAAAUAAAUCAUAUUAAAUCAAGAAGCUAAACUAAACUGACUUCUCAAACAUCUCUUUGGUUGUACCUUCCUCAACAGCUACUAAAUUAGAGAAGUCUCAACUUCAUUUCAAGGAUUUGUUUUCCUUCUCAAUGCAAAAGGGAUAGACCAUUUUUAACCUUUCUUAUUAGAAUAAGCUAUGCUUUUUAACUGCAUAAGACUUGUAUCCUUCUAAGAUUUUGUCCUUUCAAUUUUUUGCUUUCUUCUUUUUACUUCUACUUGUUUACUUUUCUUAACCCAUAAAAACAAAAAAUCGGCGAAAUCAAUUCAAUGGAACAAUAACUGAUCAAUUUUGUUCAAUUUUCAACAAUUAUAAAGAUUGAUUUAAUUGAUGAAUUUUGAAAAUUCAUUUUGUUGGUAGAUUUUCAAUUAUAAAAACUUAACUAAAAUGACAAUCAAACUUAUAUAUAAUUAUUCAAUAUUUGAUGUUUUUUUCUUUUUUUUACAAAGCUUUACCAAAAUAAGUUAUUAUUCUUAGAUUAUGAUUAAAUUAAUUUUUAAAUGCAUCAAUUACAUUUUCGACUAAAAUUUUUAAAUAUAAUUUGAAUUUCAAAUCCAAAUUAAUUUCAAUUAUUCUUAAAAUCAAAUUAGACUUGAAAUCUAAAUUAACUUGCAUCCAAUGUAUUAAUCAUCUAAACUAAACUUUUAUCAAGUUUGGUUUGGUUUAAUUUUUUCAUCACUAAAAGGUGGAUUUGGUGCGACCAUACUCGUUUCUUGAAUCACACCUCUUUAUGCCUAUUCUAAAUAAACCUCUACUAAAUCAUAUUAAUAAAAUAUUUAGUGCUACCCAUGUAAAAUAGACAAAAAGGGAAACAACCAUUUUUUACCAUUGUGAUUCUCAUUUUCUUUACCAAUGUACAAAUCAGGUACCUAAAAUUCACUUUUGUUCAAUUUUUUCUUUCUUUAAUUGUAUGAUUCCCUCUUAAUCAAUGAAAUAUUUUUUGUUCGAAACCUACAAAAACAUGUUUAGACAAUUACUAUGAGCUUAUACUUUCCCUAAUCCCAUAUAGUAUAUUACAUUAUUUAUGAGUUAGGGCGAUAAGAUUGACGUAUACUAAUAAAAAAAAAUAAUAAGUCACCCCUCAAAGAUUAGGUAACUAAGGAACAAAAAAAGAGGUGUCUUUCAUUGCCUAUGUCAUGUAACCUAUAAAAUUAGCCAAUUGAUUUGGCCUAUGUAUUUAUGUUUUUAUUUAUGGCCGGCCACAAUUUAAAACAUUAGGUAAGGGAAUCAGAAUCGGAAUCCACUUGAACAACAAUCCAAAAUAUUAGGUAAGAAAAUCCACCCAUUUAGAUCAUUAAAAUACGAUCCACUUUCAUACAACAAUUAACAUUUUUCCUAUCUUGGUUGCCACUUGACAAUCAUUGGAAUGUCAUAUGGGUGUAUUUGGCAUAUCAUAAUAUUGAGUGGGAAUGAAGAUAAAUCAUAAUAUUAUGUGAGAAAACAAAAUCAAAAUCUUCAUCAAACUAGAUAUUGGUUUUUCCGAGAAUAAAAUUUUCAAUAUUAUUUUAUCCCUAAUUCCUUUUUUUUUUUUUUUUAGGAUUAAGAAUCUAUGCUAGAAAAUUCAGUGGAAAAGGGAUUAACCUAAUUUUAGGAGGUAUUUGUAGUUCAUUGGAUGGUGAAAAUGAAAAUAAAUUUUUCCUAAUUUUAUUUCUUUUUGAAAGAUUUAUAAAAAUGACUGAUUUUGAAGGGUUUUUUUUUUUUUUUUUUUUUUUUUUUUAUGGUUUUGAAAACCAUGAUACUUUAUUACUUGUAAUUUUCUGAUAUUUAAUUAUAAAUAUCAAAUAUCUAAUGUUUACUUUUUUUCAUCACUAAAAUGUUGAUUUGAUUUUGGUUUAAGUAUAAAUCAACUUUCCCUCAAAAAAAUUGUCAAAUUACACCUUUUUAUACCUACUCCAAAUAUCCGGUGCUACUUAUAUUAAGUAAACAAAAAAGAAAACAACCAUUGAGUCCGAGAGUUGAUUUUCAUUUUCUUUAUCAAUGUGAAGGUAUGCCACCUAAAUUAAAUUUAUUAAAUUUUUUCUUUUCUUUAAUUGUAAAACUUUACUCUUAAUCGUACAAAAUAUUAUCCAUUAAAAUAAAAAAUAAAAAUAAAAAUAAAAAUAUGUUUACAUAAUUAAAAGGAGCUCAUACAAUUAUAAUAUAAAGAACUUUUUGUAGGAUAUCACAUUAAUUGUGGGAAGGGUAACGAGAUCAUUACUGAUUUAAGAAAAAAAUAGAAAAAAAAUCAACCCUCAAAGAUUAGGUAACUAAGGAACAAAAGAAGAGGUGUCUUUCAUUACCUAUGUCAUGUAACCUAUAAAAUUAGCCAAUUGAGUUGGCUUAUGUAUUUAUGUUUUUAUUUAUAGCCGGUCACUUAAAUAUUAGUUAAAACAUUAGGUAAGGGAAUGAGAAUCCACUUGCAGAAUAAUCCAAAAGAUUAGGCGAGAAAAUCCACCGUUUUAGAUGAUUAAAGUAUGAUCCACUUUCAUAUAAAAAUUAAUAUUUUUCCUUCCUUAGUUGCCAUAUGACAGGAAUAAUGUAUAUACUAGUGAAUUUGGAAUAUCACAAUACUAGUAGCAUGUGAGAGAAAGAAAUCUUUCCGUAUAAAUUAUUUCAUAAGUUAUAUUAUAUUUUUUUUAUAAAAUAAGAAAAGUUAUUAGAAAUAUCUUUAUAAAUAUUUUAAGUUAUAAGAAGGAAAUCUCAUGAUAUGGAAAUAAGCUUGUAGAGACUAAAGGUGGAUAAAGAUGUGGAGAAUAAUACAAGACACUCGACGGAGCGAGGGGCUCGUGGUUCAAAGUGUGGAUACAAAGAGUGGAAAUGUGGAGUGAGGGGACUUAUGGUCGUGUGGAUACAAGGAAUGAGAAAUAUGAGAUAUUUUGGGAACCAAUAAUAUAAUAAAAAGAUUCUCUCUUAUCCAUAGACGUAAGUACUGAAUUGCAUUAAAAUAUCAUAUACAUUUGUGUAAAUCAUUUUAUAUUUAUAUUAUUGAACUAUCUUUGAUUAUAUUAAAGCUUCUAUUAGUACAACAAAUGUCUCGAAGUCUUUUUAGGAUUAAGAAUCCACAAAGAAAAUUCAAUAAUGGGUAGAAAAGGGAUUUAUCUUACUUUUAUAAUAAAAUAGUAAUUUUAGCAUUUAAAAGAAUAAAAUAAAAUAGUCCCUAGUACUUCCACAAUCAAGUAAGUCCUAAUAUAUUCUCAAUGUAUUUUUUGAAAUUAACUAUACAAGGCUUUGCUUAUUGUAGAAUCUUUUAAACCGUUAAAAAAACUUUAUUUGCAAAUGAAGAAUUUGAUUUAUAAGAGGUGUCUAAUCUCAUGGAAAAUAGAGUUUUGAUUUUGAUUUUCACUUUUAAUUAAAGCCAAAAGUAAAAACUUAUUUCAAUUAAGUUGAUAACCUAAAUUUUGACUUUAUAUUUAUUCCUUCAUAUAAUCUUCAAUUUUAUUUAAUAAUAAAUAAUUUUUUGUUUAAAUUUAAAAUAAAAAUCAAAGAAAAAACUUGUAAGUUGUAGCUCUACUUUAAAAAAUAAAUAAAUUUGAUAAUUUUUUUUAAAAAAAAAUGCUUUUAUGAAAGAUUGUUCUUAAACCAUUUUUUUAAAAAAAAAGAAAAAAAAAAUAUCAUAAAUUGCAGUCGUGUAACAAUUUAAAAGAAAAAAAAAAUCAAUCUACAACUAUCAUAAUUGUGACAUGGUGGAUUCAAGAUAGAACUCAUUUUUUCUGUCUCAGUGAUCAAGCCUUCACCUUACAGAGACAGGGGACCAGUUUCACUUGUUUCCAUCAUCCCUUCUCAACUCUGACUCUUUUGUUUUCCUUUGCGAAAAAAAAAACACCAUGGAAGUUGUUGGAAACGCUCUUCUUUCGGAUGUCCUUGGCUGGCUGUCUGACAAGUUGGGCUCCUAUGAUUUCAUUAAGUUUGCAAGCGAAGAGAAUGUCGACACUGAGCUCAAGAAAUGGGAGAAGGAGUUGCAGAGCAUCUGGCAAGAGCUCAACGACGCGGAGGAGAAGCAGAUCACAGUGGAUACUGUCAAAUCAUGGGUGUUCGAUCUGAGGGUUUUGGCGUAUGAUAUGGAGGACAUCUUGGACGAGUUUGAUUACGAAUUGAUGAGAAGAAAGCCGAUGGGGGCGGAAGCUGAAGAAGCCAGCACAAGCAAGAAACGUAAGUUCUUUACUAAUUUCUCUACUAGUUUCAAUCCAGCUCAUGUUGUGUUUAGUGUCAAGAUGGGGUCCAAGAUUAGAGAAAUCACCAGCAGGUUACAAGAUAUUUCAGCUAGAAAAGCUGGACUUGGCCUAGAAAAGGUGACAGUAGCAGCAGCUACUUCCGCUUGGCAAAGGCCACCACCCACUACACCUAUAGCAUACGAACCUCGCGUUUAUGGCAGGGAUGAAGAUAAAACACUGGUUCUUGAUUUGCUGCGCAAGGUUGAGCCCAAUGAAAACAAUGUUAGCGUUAUUUCCAUUGUUGGCUUGGGCGGGGUGGGCAAGACGACUCUCGCACGGCAGGUUUACAAGUAUGAUUUGGCCAAAAAUUUUGAACUAAAAGCGUGGGUUUGUGUGACUGAUGUGUUUGAUGUGGAGAAUAUAACAAAAGCAAUUCUCAAUUCGGUGUUAGAGUCUGAUGCAAGUGGGUCUUUGGACUUCCAACAAGUUCAAAAGAAAUUGACAGACACGUUAGCAGGGAAAACUUUUUUACUCGUUCUAGACGACGUGUGGAACGAAAAUUGUGGUCAUUGGGAUCUUUUGCGGGCUCCUUUUAGUGUAGGGUCCAAAGGAAGCAAAGUCAUAGUUACAACACGCAAUAAAAAUGUCGCAUUGAUGAUGGGAGCUGCCAAGAAUGUUCAUAAACUAAACCCUUUAUCUGAAGAUGCUUGUUGGUCUGUGUUUGAGAAGCAUGCAUUUGAACAUAGAGAUAUCAAUGAUCAUCCGAACCUGGUGUCCAUUGGUAGGAAAAUUGUUGGCAAAUGUGGUGGAUUGCCACUAGCAGCAAAAGCGCUUGGUAGUCUCCUACGCUCUAAGCAAAGCGAAGCCGAAUGGGAAACAGUAUGGAGUAGCAAAAUAUGGGAUUUGUUAAGCACGGAAAGUGAUAUUCUUCCUGCGUUGUGGUUGAGCUAUUACCAUCUUCCUUCAUAUUUGAAGAGGUGUUUUGCAUAUUGUGCAAUGUUCCCCAAGAACUGGAAGUUUGAGUCACAAGGUUUGGUCCUUCUAUGGAUGGCUGAAGGUUUAAUUCAGCAACCAAAAGGUAACGGACAAACAAUGGAAGAUCUUGGGGCCAACUAUUUUGAUGAAUUAUUGUCAAGAUCAUUUUUUCAACCAUCGACUAAUGAUGAAUCACGUUUUGUGAUGCAUGAUCUUAUACAUGAUCUAGCUCAAGUUGUAUCUGGUGAAAUAUGUUUUUGUUUGGAAUAUAACCUAGGCAGUAACCCGCUAUCCAUAAUUUCUAAACAGACUCGUCAUUCAUCAUUCGUUCGUGGAAGAUAUGAUGCGAUCAAAAAAUUUGAAGCUUUUCAAGAGGCAGAGCAUUUACGAACAUUUGUGGCUUUACCAUUUCUUGGUAGAAGUGGUCCAAAAUUUUUUGUGACUAGAACGGUUUAUGAUCAUUUGGUGCCAAAACUUCAACGACUAAGAGUCCUCUGUUUGAGUGGAUAUUUGAUACCUGAACUACCAGAUUCUAUUGGUGAAUUGAAACAUCUACGCUAUUUGAAUUUGUCUUUCACUCGAAUCAAAUCAUUGCCUGACUCAGUGAGCAAGCUCUAUAAUUUACAAACAAUUAUAUUAUUCGGGUGUUCGAAUUUUAGAAGGUUACCUCCCAACAUUGGGAACUUAAUUAACCUUCGACAUCUCAAUGUUGAAAGAUGUUUAAACCUAGACGAGAUGCCACAACAGAUAGGUAAAUUAAAGAACUUGCAAACUUUGUCUAAUUUUAUUGUGGGUAAAAGCAGAUAUUUGGGAAUAAAGGAGUUGAAGCAUUUGUCACAUCUCCGAGGGAAGAUUUUUAUCUCACGAUUGGAGAAUGUGGUGAAUAUUCAAGAUGCCAUAGAUGCCAAUCUAAGGACUAAGCUCAAUGUUGAAGAGUUGAUUAUGUCUUGGAGUAGUUGGUUCGAUAAUUUGCGAAAUGAAGACACCGAAAUGGAAGUCCUUCUCUCUCUACAACCUCAUACCAGUUUGAAGAAACUCGAUAUUGAAGCUUAUGGUGGUCGGCAAUUCCCCAACUGGAUAUGUGAUCCCUCUUACUCUAAAUUGGUGGAGUUAAGUAUUUGGGGUUGUAUGAGGUGCACUGAUCUACCUUCAGUUGGGCAACUACCUUUCCUCAAGAAGUUAGUCAUCGAAAGAAUGGAUCGAGUGAAAAGUGUGGGGCUGGAGUUUGAGGGGCAGGUUUCUCCUUACGCUAAGCCUUUCCAAUGCUUGGAGUAUUUAAGUUUUCGAGAAAUGAAGAAAUGGAAAAAGUGGUCAUGGUCAAGAGAGUCAUUUUCUCGCCUCGUCCAGUUGCAGAUAAAAGAUUGUCCAAGAUUGAGUAAGAAAUUACCCACUCACCUAACUUCUCUAGUAAGACUUGAAAUUAACAAUUGCCCAGAAACGAUGGUUCCACUUCCAACACAUCUACCUUCUCUUAAAGAGCUCAAUAUUUGUUAUUGCCUAGAAAUGAAGCCCUCUAAAAGAUUACAGCCUUUUGGACGAUUGCGAGGAGGGAGUAGAAGUGCAAUUGACAUCACCUCACGUGUUUAUUUCACAAUUAAUGGAAUGUCAGGGCUUUUCAAACUUGAGCAAAAAUUUUUGCGGUCCUUGCCAAGGCUUCAACUACUGGAGAUCGACGAUUCUGGUGUGUUGGACUGUUUGUGGGAAAAUGGGUUGGGAUUAGAAAAUCUCGCUAAGCUUCGAGUAUUGGAUUGUAACCAACUUGUAUCCUUGGGAGAAGAGGAAGCGCAAGGGCUGCCUUGUAAUCUUCAGUAUUUGGAGAUACGUAAAUGUGAUAACUUGGAGAAGCUUCCACAUGGAUUAUAUAGCUAUGCAUCUCUCAGAGAGUUGAUUAUAGUGGACUGUGCAAAAUUGGUGUCAUUUCCAGAUAAGGGUUUCCCGCUCAUGCUUAGACGUCUUACUAUUGCUAAUUGUAAAAGUCUAAGUAGCCUACCUGAUAGCAGUAAUUGCAGCAACAUGGUGUGUGUCCUUGAAUACUUGAAUAUUUACAAGUGUCCUUCUCUCAUUUGCUUUCCAAUAGGGCAGUUACCCACCACCCUUAAGGAACUCCAUAUAUCCUAUUGUAAAAAUCUAAAGUCUCUUCCAGAAGACAUCGAGUUUUCUGCCCUUGAAUACGUAGAGAUAUGGGGGUGUUCGUCUUUCAUUGGUCUUCCAAAGGGAAAACUACCACCAACCCUGAAGAAGCUCACAAUAUAUGGGUGUGAAAAGCUAGAGUCUUUACCAGAGGGAAUAAUGCAUCACCAUUCCAACAACACAACCAAUUGUGGUCUUCAAUUCUUGCAUAUAUCGGAAUGUUCAUCUCUCACAUCCUUCCCUAGAGGCAGAUUUCUCCCUACCCUUAAAUCUAUUAAUAUUUAUGAUUGUGCACAGCUGCAACCAAUUUCAGAGGAGAUGUUUCAUCGCAAUAAUAAUGCACUUGAAGUUUUGUCCAUCUGGGGAUAUCCCAAUCUCAAAACUAUACCAGAUUGCCUCUACAACCUCAAAUAUCUUCAGAUCACAAAAUGUGAGAAUCUGGAGUUGCAGCCUCAUCAAUUGCAAAGCCUCACUUCUCUUACAUCACUCCAUAUCCAUGAUUAUGAGAAUAUGAAGACGCCCUUAUCAGAAUGGGGCCUUGCCAGAUUGACCUCUUAAAACUCUCACCAUUUCUGAUUAUCACCACCACCACCACCACCCACUGCUUCUUCCUACUACUCUACUUAAUCUUUGCAUUUCAAGAUUCGAGAAUCUGGAAUCCUUGGCCUUCCUGUCUCUCCAAAGGCUUACUUCUCUUGAAACGCUAGAUAUCUCCGGAUGUCGUAAGCUGCAGUCGUUUUUGCCAAGGGAAGGGCUGUCUGAAACGCUUUCAGCCCUAUUUAUAGAAGAUUGCCCACUCCUAAGUCAAAGGUGCUCAAAAGAGAAUGGGCAAGAUUGGCGCAACAUCGCCCACAUCCCCUAUGUGCAAAUUAGGUAGUCGAUUGAUCUUUGAGCAAUAAAAGUUGAGAUUGCAGCAAAAUGAAUGUAGAGGCCAUUCCACCAUAUCCUCUCCUUAUGUGCCACAAUCCCUUGUAAGUGUCAUUUGUUUUAUUAUUCCACAUUUAUUUUAUGACACAUUCUUGUACUUAAGUUGAUGGUUUCAUCUCUGUUAUUGAGAGUUAUCUUCUAUUUCUUGCUUUCUUUCUUUUUGUCUUUCUUUUCUGUUUAUUAGGUUAAGGAGAUGUGAUAAAUAUGGGGAUUUGGCAAUUUCAUCUUCACUUCCAUGUAAGUUUCUCUAAUUGUGCCAUUUUGUUGAAUUUGAAUACUAACCUUGUUUUUUCUAUUUCUCAAUUAUUCUGAUUUUUUUAAUUUUGGACAAUUUGUCUCACUUUUGUUCAUUGUUUAAUACUUCAACUGAUUUUAUUUUUUUUCCUGGUUUUAAUGAUCAUUUUUCUAAAGUUUUCUACUUCCAUGCUUGUUAUGUUUUAUAGGUACCUGCUAGAAGGGGCCUUUAGCUUCUUGACCUUUCUCAGUAGUCGAUCCAAUUGCAGGAACUGGAGUCGAUUUAAGCAAAAGAUCUGCAGAUAAAACUUACUGAAGGCUUUCCCAGCUGUAUGAGUCCGAACUCUAUCUUUGGCCUCAUGUGAUUUGUGUCAUUAGAUUGUAUAUCUACACAAUACCCAUAGGCUAUCCAUUCCCUUUCUGUUAAAAUCAAGCUUGCCCAUUCAUUAUGCAUAACUUUUUUCUUCUUAAGAAGUAGUUUCAAAAUUUUCAUCUUAAAGGAAUUCCUUUUCAUGCAUGUAGGAUGUAAGGUGAAAAUAAUGCAAAUGGAAUCCAAUUCUCUAACAACAGGGCCAGCCAGUUAGAGUGAGUAUGCUAUAUUUCAUUCAUGAUCUUUUUUUAUUUCAUAUAUUUCAAUUGCAUUGUCCUCAAGUAGCAUUCUUAUCUGACGUAUCUCUAAAUAAAGUUCCCCAUUGUUUUCCCUAAAUAUUCAUAGAUAUGCAUCUAUUAAAUUAGGCCAUGUUCUUAAUGCUUUAUAGACCUAUGAUUUAUCAACCUAUGGUUUCAUUUUCUCCAUCACAGGAUUGGACCAUGUUUUUAUAAUUUUCCAUUCAUCAACAUGAUCUUUGUUCAACUUACAGGCUUUUCAAGUCAGUAAUAAAGAACAUCUCUGAUUGAAAUGCUUCAUUUUCUAGGAAUAUCUCUCAUUAUAACUUAUUUUACUUAUGAGCUUUUAACUACAUUCCUUUUUACAAUAAUGCAGGAUUGGCUUUUGCUAAAAAAUAUUGAUUCUUCAUUUUGGUCUCCUUCACAGUCAUUGUAAGCAUCACUAUUUCUACAUCAUUGUUAUCUUUGUAAAUAAUUCUGGCUUGAAUUGUAUAGCAUACUUAUACAAGUCAAAGUUGCAGAAGUCAUGGCCCAAAAAUUACCAUCUCAUGUGGAAUCGGGAGAAAGGAAAUCUGCAAGUUGAGAUACAAUGAGAGUGAGCUAUGCAAAUUCUUACAUAUUCAAAACCUUUUUAUUUGUACAAUUUAUUCCGAUGGCUUUUCAAUAAUCAUGUUUGCAUUUCAUUUGAUUUUAAAUUUUCAAGGAGAUUUAGGGCUCAAAAUAGCUACCAUUGACUUCAGAAUUGUACUUCAAUAUCUGAGGAGCAGUCCCUUGUUGUAACACGAAAUGCUUUUGGAAGCUGGUUAUAGAAUUCCUGGGGAAUGGUGAUUUUCCCUAUUAAUUUGGUACGCUUUUUGACUCAUUCUCCAGCAUAUUAUUGGAGAACCUAUUUUUUCCCUCAAUCUUUUACUUUUAGGAAGAUUUUAGCUCAAGUCAAAUCCUCUUUUUAGUGAAAUUAUGGAUCUUUAAUUAGUGUUUUGCAGACCACUAAUAUUAGGAAUAUGAUGGUUUGUGUUGGAAUACACAAAUUUCUCUUUGAAUCCUUGAACCCAGUGUACCAUCUCAAACAUUUCUUUUUGUUUUACAGAUGAAUGUUGGAAAUAGGAUAGGCUGAUGAAGGCCAAAGAAUCAGUUUGGGGUAGAUUUGGAGAUCAAUCACUGAAUGGUUCAGAUUAUUUCUUUUUCUAAUUUCAUUUGAUUUAGAGUGGAUGCAGAGGCUAUACUUAUGGUAAUAAAUAUGCAGUACCCUGUUGUUCAUAGUGAUCAUGUUAGACUAAGAUUUUUUAUCAACUUCUACAUGUGGCUUAUGCCAAGAAGUGAAGGUCAUUACCCAUUGCAGGUUCGGUUUUGGGGCUUUUGUGAAGGACGGAUGGACCUGAAUUUGAGCAUUUUUUACUGAAGAUGAUGAAUGGAGACUUGAAUCUGCCCUAUUUCGCCAAGCAACAACGUAAAAAAUUAUGCAAGGUUUGCUAACUCGUCAAUCUAUCCUAAACUAAAUAUUGUGUGAUGGAAGUGGAUUGUGACAGCUUACUCCUUGGGAUGGAGUUAAGGAUUUUUUUAUUCCCUCAUUCAUCUUUGUUUUAGCGUAUUUGUGAUUCAUUCUUAAGCUGUUUCCUUUCCUUUUUAUCUGAGUUCGCCAAUAUGUUCAUUCUUAAAUAUUUUGGCAUGCCUAAAAACUACCCGUAAGGAAACAUGUUAAUACCCUGGAUUGUGAGCAUUAAAAAAAAGGUCAUCUUGGUAUUAUGGUAUAUGGUGGUAAAAAAAUGAAAGAAUUUUAGUUCUUGUAGCCCUAAAAUGAUCUUCUAUUUGCUACUAAUGCAGUCUUAUUUUGAGUGUUGUGAGUAAACUGGACUCAUUUCAUUUUUAAAACUCAGUGGAAGUACCUUUAUUCCUUGGAGCUUCCAAUCAAACCCUAAGGCUAUGUUUGGUUCCCAGAAAAUGCUAAGGAAAGGAAAAAAAUGCAAGGGAAAAUGAUUUUCUGUAGUUUGGAUGAUGUGGAAAAUAUGAUGGAAAAAAAAUACAAAGGAAAAUAUUAAAGAAAAUAUGGUAAUAUUUUCCCCAUUAUUUUCCUUAAAAAAUAAUGAGGAAAAUAAGAGAAAAGAGAAGGGAAAAGGGGGGAAAAUUUUAUCGGGCUCUUCUUCGCCCAGGCUGCACCUCUAACUUCCUCUUCAUCGGUGGCUAUGACAUUUCACCGUCGUUGACCCUUUCAACGGCCACCAGUAUCACUCCGACCACCUUCCAGUGCCGAAAACUGUAACUCCUUGUCGAUCCUCUCUCCAAGUCUCAAGCCCAAAUCCAUCAGAUCUUCGUCAUUCAUCUCGCUGGUCGUCCCUGCAAUUUUUUGAACCUGAAAAGCGCUCCAAAAUAUGUGAAAAAGGGUGAAAGAUCGAAGCUUCGGGUCACUCUUGAUGUGUCAGAGGCGCGGAAGAGGAAGAGACCUGAUUAGGGAAAUGUGGUGACUAGGGCUAGGGUUUCGAGGAAUGCGAGUUUAAGGCCGAAGAAGCGGGUUUAUUACAAGAAGGUUGUGUAUGAUGGGGGUGAAUUUGCGGUGGGCGAUGAUGUGUAUGUGAAAAGAAGGGAAAAUGCGAGCUCGGAUGAUGAAGAAUUGCAAGUGGAGGAGUGUAGGGUAUGUUUCAAGUCGGGAAGGGCUGUGAUGAUUGAGUGUGAUUAUUGUCUGGGUGGGUUUCAUUUGAAGUGUUUGAAACCACCGCGCUGAAGGAGGUUCCAAAAGGGGAUUGGAUUUGCCAUUUUUGCGAGGCCCGGAAAUUGGGUAAGGAGGUUGUGCUUCCAAAGCCACCCAAAGGGAAGAAACAAAAGAGAACUGCAAUGGAGAAGCUUCUUUCCAGUGAUUUAUGGGCGGCUCAUAUUGAAAAGUAUAGUCCUUUAUCUCCUUUUACUAAAUUGUCUGUUUGAUUACUGAUAAAAUGUGGGAAAAGGAAGCGAAUCAAUUUGAAACUUGAAUGCUAUGUCGUUCAUUAUAAAGUGAGUUUGACAUAACUAUUUGGAUUGAUUGAUUUGAGUUUUUAAUUUCUAAGGAGCAAAAUGACCAAAAACAUGGGACUUGAAAUUCUGUUUUCUUUUCUUUUCUUUUCUGGUGCUUCUGAGGGACAAGAAAAAAGAGAAAAUGAUAUGAAUUCUUAUUCUUUUAUUGUAGUAGUAAUUGUGUGGACUAUGGAUCAUUUUUUUUAUGUUGGAGAUGUGCAAUAUGUGGAAAGAAGUGGAUGGUACUUACUGGUUUCGGAGGCGAUGGUAUAUCAUCCCUGAAGAGAUUGCGUUGAUUGUAACAUUUAACCUAUUUACUGGAAAAGGACUUCUUAAAUAUAUCUUCAACCUUGAAAAUGGAGAAGUGAAGUCUCAGGCAAGCAUUUCAUAGAGUGACUUUUUUCUUUUAGUUUUGUAUUAAAUAUAUCUCCAAAUAAUCCAACUGGUCAUGUUGCAUCAAGAAGACAAUCAGAGGAACUGGUAUCGUUUGCAAAAGCAAAUGGAUUAAUCUUUGAAUGAGACUGAUAUCUUUCUACCAAUUUAUUCCAAGAGUUCAAUUUUUAUUUUCCUGAAAUUUUUUUAUUAUUCAACAAAUUGAUAACCAUCUAACAUGAAUUUAUGAUUUUAUUUUCCUUUCAUUUUUCCUUUAUUUUUUUUCAUGGUUAACCAAAUAAAAGAAAAUGAAUUUUUUUUUUCCUUUGAAUUUUCCAUGGAUUACCAAACAAGUGAAAAAUUUUAUUUUCCUUUCCUUAGCUUUUUCUUUCAUUCCAUUUUUCCUCCCAAUUUUCUUUCUCUCGCAUUUUCCGGGAACCAAACAUACCCUAAAUUUUCUUAAAGAUAUGGCUUAUAUUGGGUGAGAGGGGGAAUAUGAUUUUAGUAUGCUCUGCUUGUUGGGUGCCAUUUUAUGCUUCCCCGCAAUCUUUUUACACUUUGUGAAGCAAGUGACAGUGUACCAAAGUUUAUCUAAUUGGAAUUUUGCCUUCACAUAUAUAUAUAUAUAUGUUCAUGCAUGAUGAAAUUUAAAUCACUGAAUGCUGGCUUGCUUCCCCACAGAUACAUCCAUGUCACUAAAGCUAAAAAUGAAGGUUGCGUUUUCUCUUAAACUUGGAAGCUCAUGAUGUAGUAAUACCUCAUAAUGUCAAAAAGUAAUUAAUGUCUGUCCUCUGCAUGUACAUUUUAGUGUUAAUCGUUUCUGGGAUUCUUGCUUGAUAUUUAAAAAGGUUCACAUUUCAGUUCUGUCUUGUAGAUCAUGCUUUUGGAAGCUCCUCACAACCCGAAAGCUGGAGUGCUUCAUCUGUAUAUCCUUGAGUUCUAUCAGAUGGGUGGAAAGCCAAUUACAAAGAAAUAUGGACAGGGCUUUCUCAUAUGUGGUUAUAUCAUAUCAAUUCAGUUGGCCAACAUCCAAUAGUCCAGAGGAAGGUCCUUGCUGACAAUGAAUAUUGAUGAGAGCAUCAAUAGAAGUUUUGAUGGACCUGAACAAAGUUAAAACAACUCGAGGACCAGAUUACCUGUACAACUCCCAGCAGCCAAAUGGACCUCUGAGGACCAUUAAUGAGAGAGCAUCGUUGCAGAUUCCAGACUUAAGACAUUGCUGGAGUAUUGAAUUCUGAAUGUAAUACAGGAGAAAAUUUUGUUUAUAUGUAUUAAUGUUGAUGAAGUUUUGGUUAGUAUGGUAUGGUUGAGAUCAUGGUUUGUGGAUUUGUUGUUCAUUGUAGUUAUCAGAAAUGACUGAACAAGGCUACCUUUUAUUCUUAAGAAAUUCUGGUUUUAUAAUUCUGCUACAAUCAAUACAAGGUGUGGAAGUGCAAUUGAUUAUGUUUAUGCAUGAACUUCUUUGGAAUCCCAUGUCUCUAACAUUCCCUUCAUCUGUAGUUGCUAACCAAGCUUUCACACACAGCAAACCAUUAAUUCUUUCUGCUUCCCCUCUUUACAGCAUCCUUUAGAUUCCCACUCUUUCUCUCUUAAGAAACCAGGCAAAUUGUUGAGGUUGCCCUUUCUGUUUCCCCUCAAGUGCUGUUUGGCAAGCUGGUUUCCUCUGAUUUGCGGAAGUUUGCAUGCCUGGAGCAAGUCCAAACCCAGCUCAAGAAAUGGCAGAAAAUGUUGGAAUUUAUAUGGGUGAAUGGAAAUUAGGAUUAGACACAACUUGUUUUAAAGGAUGUGUCUUGUAUUUAAAAGACACAACCUCGUACAAAGGAUGUGUUUGGUGUUUUAAGACAACCCUUCAAAGGAUGUGUCUAGUAUUUUAAAGAUACAUCUCUUCUAAUAAGUCACCAACAAAUCUAUAAAUAGGGAUGAUAUUUCUUAUUCAUUCAUUCAUCUAUUCUCUUCACACUUUCUCAUUUCUUGUCAUUCAAGUCCUCCUUAACUUUAAGUCUAGUCAUUUUUCGUUUUUAUUAAAUAUUUGGUGUUCAAGAGAGUACAAAUCACUAAGUGAUUUUUAGUUUCUUGUAAUUUGAAGUGUUACUAUCACAAUAAAGUGAUCAUUGUAUCCUGAGAGACGACUGUCAACAAACCAUAAGUACUUGAGCGGAACAAAUUCAUCUUAAGGACAUAGAGUCAAACUUUAGUCUCAAUCAACCUUAUUUGUGAGUUUCAAUUUUCUACUUCAUUUUAUUUGUAUAUUUAUUAUACACACUUAUUAUCCAUAUAUUCAAUGAUUUGGACAACAAUCUUAAGACGAAGUUGCUUUUAUUUCUAAUUUUAUUACAAUUGAUCUUUUAGUGAAGAUGGUUUCUGCAUCUUCUAUCAUACCUCCUACUAUUGCACAUGGUGAGAAACCUGAGAAGUUCACUGGGACAGACUUCAAGAGGUGGGACCAAAAAAUGUUGUUCUACCUUACAAUAGGAUUGGCAACGGGGCGGAUUUGGGCGGGGCCACCCCUACCCCAUUCCUGUCCCAAUUAUAUAAAUCCCUUUCCCAUCCCUAUCCCAUACCCGGGGUGGGACGGGUUAAUGUCUCCCAUUACCAUUUACAAAAGAGUUGAUAAUCCCAUCCCCGUACCAAAUGUGUUUUCGGGGCGGGGCGGCGUCGGGUGCUGGCCCAUGCCAUCGGGACCAUCAGCAACAUCUUCCAAUUUCGGAACAACUUCAGAAUCUCGACGGCCUCCGUUGACACAUUGGAGUACUUGAUGUUGGUACAGUGGCUGUCGUCAUCCCGAACCACGUGGCUCGGGUGCAAGAUCGCCAGCUUGAGGACGGUGUCGACGGACAUGAAGCACAUGAAGCACAUGAACCCAAUGUAAGUAUCUUUGUUCACGAAUGCAACCUCGCUCCAUUUGUAAGUCAGAAUGAAGGGGAUGAGCCCGCCAAUGACGCCCCUCAUAUUGAAGAUGCUCUAGAACAGCGAUAUGUAUGAACCCUUUCUCCCCGGCAGGGGGUACAACGUCAUGAUAGCUCCCUACCCCACCCAGAGCAAUCCUGCUCUGAUUCCGAGGAUGGCGCCAAUGACAAUGGCGAAGCCCUGGUGCUGGUAGUGGUUGUAGUAAAGGAAAGAGCCGGCGUAGAAGACGUAGGUUGAGCAACCAGUGAAGAGGGUGAAGUAGGGGCCGAGGAUGUUGUAGAUGCCACCACCCAAGAUGCCGAAGAUGGCGAAGGUGGUGUAAAGGGCGAUGUUAGAAUUAUUGGCGGCGGUGGCAUCCACCUGCCCACCUCCCCCCAUCCCGGAAAGGGCAUUGAACAUGCUUGGACAUCAGAAGUAUACCAAGCCAAUCAAACAGACCUGAACUAGUGGGGAAUUGUAUCUAAAAAUGGAUUUGUUAGGCAACCCCACCACUGACUCUUCAUCUUCCCUAAACCCCAUUUCUCUUCUUACCCACUAGAUCAUAUUAGAAUCAGAUUCAAAUCCAGAGUCUCUAUGUAUGUUGGUAAUUAAAAUUUCGGGGCGAGGCGGGUAACUACAAACCCAUACCCGCCCCGAACCCGAUUCGGGUUUCACAAAACUUUCUCAUACCCGAUUAAUUUAUCCCAUACCCGUUCCAAUAGGGGCGGGUGACUCGAUUGACAUGUGAAAUUGCCAUUCCUACCUUACAACUGUGAAUCUUGAUUGGGUCCUAUAUGAGGAUGCCCCUAUAUUAAAGAAGGGUGAAACUGAUAAACAAAUGGAAGCUUGGAAUUAUUCUAACUUCCUAUGCAAGAAUUACAUCCUCAAUAGUUUGGACAACACAUUGUACAAUAUGUAUAGUCCAAUAAGAACUACUAAGGAACUUCGGGAGUCCUUAGAGAAAAAAAAAUACAAGACAAAGGAUGUUGGCUUGUGAUAAUCAAUUGACUAUUGGAAGAACACAGAAUAACAUGUAUAAUGGUAAGUCUCGACAUAUACGUCGAAGACAUAAUACAAUAAGACAAUUAUUUUCAAAUGGAGUGAUUUCCAUUGAUUAUAUCAAAUCAAAGGAUAACCUUGCGAAUCCGCUUACUAAAGGUUUGCCAAAGAUCAAGUUAACUACUUAUCAAGUGGAAUGAAAUUAAAGUCUAUAACCAAAAAGUCUUCAUAAUGGUAACCCAACCUAGUUGACUAGAGAUCCCAAGAUCUAGGCUCAAAGGGACAACUAAGUUAUGAAUGACUAAGAGAAAUAUUAAAAAGAUAAUCUCUCUUAUCUAUUCCUAUUAUGAAAUAGUGUUUUAUGCCCGUGAACAAGGUUAAGCUUUGCCUUUAAUGAGUCUUAUAACUUGGAAAACAAGUGGGGUAUGACAAGACGCUCUUAAUAAGAAUUACUUAUGUGAGUGUGGAAGGGAGUCGUUCCCAUGAUAUUUUUUAAGGAUGAAAUUCUCUAUAGCACUCAUGAAACCAAGAUCUUUGUAGGACCAAAAUGAACACAACCAUGAGAAUCAAUGGUGAUUCGGAAGGGAAUUGUGUGGAUAAUAUUGUCUUGAUUUACACCAACGGUUAAACAAUUCAAGACAUCAUGUUCAUUGAUUAGCUCGUAAAUUCGAUAAUAUUUCACUAAGGAAGGUUCAAAGUCACAAGCUACCUAUCCUGACACAAUUACUUUCCAAGUUGUACUCUCUUGAAUGAUUAGCUUGUCAUUUUCAUUUUUUAAGACAAUUUCCAUUCAUGUGGGGGAGUGUUGGAAUUUAUAUAGGUGUGUUAGUCCAAGGGUUCUCCUAAUCGGGUUUUGAUGAUAACAAACCAUGGUUAAGUAACUAAUUGGUUUAAUGUUUAAGAAUCUCAGGUAUAAACUCGAAAAUUCAUCAAAGGACCAAAUGGAUACAAGAUCGAGACGCUUGGAAGACUUGAGAUCAUAGGAAAUGAAUGUAAGAUGAUAGCAUGAGUGCACUUAGGAUGUUCAUACCUUUUCAUGCAUAUUAGAAAACUCGGUUUAUUAUUUAAAAGUUGAUUUUCUUUAAAACCCGAGUUUUAUCAAAUAUACCUUAGGCAAAUUGAUUCAAAAUUGACAUAUUAACUCACCUAUAGACCUUGCCUAAGUGUUAGAAAAGAAAGGAAUAAAAAAAUAGGUUUUUCGGGGCCAAAAAGGCUCAACCAAUCGAGGCUAAGGCCAACCAGUCAAUCGGUUGAGGAACCGGUCAACCGGCUGAGGUCGUCCAGUCGAGGACCGGUCGAGGAAGGUUAAAAACCUUCUCUCUCUCCCAAUAGCCAUCUCUUCCCGGUCGAAGUGAUUCCUUUACCGGUCGAGGUCCGGUCGAGGUCCGGUCGAGGUCCGGUCGAGGACCGAUCGAGGUCCAGUUGAGGCAACGAUAACCUGUCAUGCAUUAAAUGCUCCAACGGCUAGUGAACCGAUCGACCCCUAGCUCGACCGGACGAGGUUUCCUUUUGUUGUUUUUGACUCCUGAGCUUAGAAACCUAUAAAUUGAGAGCUCCUCUUCAUUUAUUGAUAAGAGAACAAUUGCAUUCAAAGCCUACCUACCUGUUCUCGAUCAAAAAGCUCUCAUUUCUUUUUUAGUGCAUCAAACCAUCACUUGCAUACUCUUAGUGCACUCUUGUAAAUCAUCCUAGCUUUCUCUUGUACUUGAGUCAUUCUUAAGCUAGGUUGAGAGUUUCAUCUUUGUGUAAACUGAGUGUGAAAGCCUUCAAGUGGUUCAAAUCUUGAAGAGAUUGUGUAAGAGCCCAUUGGAGCCGGAAUCCAAGUGUAAGAAGAUUGAAAGCUUGAUUGAAGCUUCAAGUUAGUGGAACUCUCACUUGGUUAGGAGAUUGAGGAGAGUGGACGUAGGCAAGGGAGUGCCGAACGACUAUAAACCCAAGUUUAAAUUCUCUAACUUUAUCUCUUUCCUUUAUUUAUUUUGUGCAUAUAUUAUUGCGUGGAAAAAGAUUUUGAAAAACCUAAUUCACCCCCCCUUUUGGGUAUUUUCCUUAAUUAUUCAUAGUCUUUGUUUUAUCAAGGUGAAUGAAAAUUAGGAUUAGACACAACUUGUUUUGAAGGAUGUGUCUUGUAUUUAAAAGACACAACCUCUUCCAAAUGAUGUGUUUGGUGUCUUUAAGACACAAUCCUUUAAAUGAUAUGUCUAGUAUUUUAAAGACACAUCUCUUCUAAUAAGUCACCAACAUAUUUAUAAAAGGGACCCAUGACAUUUCUUAUUCAUUCAUUCAUCCAUUCUCUCUACUUUUUCUCCUUUCUUGUCAUUCAAGUCCUUAGCUUCAAGUCUAGUUAUUUCUCUUUCUACCAAAUAUUUGGUAUUUAAGAGAGUAAAAUAACCAAAUGAUUCAUUGUUUCUUGUGAUUUGAAGUGUUAUUAUCAUAAGAAAGUGAUUGUUAUAUUCUUGGAGACUAUUGUCAAUAAACCAUAAGCACCUAAACGGGACAAAUUCGUCUUAAGGACAUAGAGUCAAACUUUAUCAAGAGAAUCCUUGCGGAAAAUCCUUGCAGUUCUAAAAUGGUGCCAAGAAAAAAGAAAAAAAAUAUUAAGAAAAAUAGUUUAUUUAUAUUGAAAAAUAUGUUUAUAUAUUUUUAAAUUAUAGAAUUUUUAUACAGAAGAAGAACCAAUUGCAGAGAUCUGCGACAUCCUUUCUCUGUAAUUCAUCAACAAACUAUUACAUAUUUAGCUUCAAAAAUAUCUCACACAAAAUUAUUAUAGAUGUGGUUACAACUUACAAAUAUUUGAUAUGAAAUACAGAAGGCCCAAAACUAACAGCCUAUAGUACAACACAGAUUAGGCCCAUAACACUAAGCCCAACAAGCCCAAUGAACCCUGGUUUAUUUAUUUACCAUCAACAGCACACCAACUACCCUUAGCUUCAGACCCUUCCCAAACGCUGCCUGUCCCAAGCCGCCUUCUUCUCUCUUGCUUCCUGCCAGGCUACCACUGCUCCCACAUAGCUGAGAGAGAUGCUAUGAAUGGGAGCAAGCUUCCCUUUUUUAUAGACCUCAAGGGAAGUUCUUCAAUUGCGGUUUGGGAGUUGGAUGGCAACUAACAUUGGUGAACAUAGGCGGCAGUGGUGGUGCUGACUUCAAUCUUCCAGCGUUUCCGGCGAGGCGGUGGUGGUGGUGGAGAGGGCAUAGGGUGCUGUUCCUGUUAAAAUCUAAUCCAAGUGGAGUUGGCUAAUGGUAUUAUUUGUUGACAUUCCCAGUGAUUUACAGAGUGUUUUUGAUGGUUGGUGUCUUAAUUGAUUUUUCCUUGGAAAAGAAAUUGUCUGCUUUGCUGAGAGUUGAUGCCUUUGGAGCAUCUCUGGUCUCACCCGCUUUAGAGCCCUUCUUUUCUUUACCACCCCCAGCAGCAAAUGUCCUGCAGCCCAGCACCCUGACUGCCUCCCCUGUGAUGAUGAAACUUCUCAUUGAUUUUAUGCAGUUCAUUGCCAUGUCUUUUCCCUGCAAAAAUAUUUUACAAAAUCAUCAAUAGUUCAAGGUUCAAUUUCAACGUAACAUGCUUCCUUUAAUACCCCAUAUCCACCACUUUGUAAUACGCCACUGCUAUACUCUACAAUGCGGCAAUAGACUACAAAUCCCUUUAAUGAGUUGGGCAAAGCAGUAGGGACUCAAGCAGUAGUCUCUCUACCAGUGCAUCACCAUUCCAACAACACAACCAAUUGUGGUCUUCAAAUCUAGCAUAUCUUGCAAUGUUCAUCUAUCGCAUCCUUCCCUAGAGGCAGAUUUGUCUGUCCCUUAAAUCUAUUAGGGUUGGUGAUUGUGCACAGCUGCAGCGAAUUUCAGAGGAGAUGUUUCACCACAAUAAUAAUGCUCUUGAAGAUUUGAACAUCUUGGGGUAUCCCAAUCUCAGAAUCAUACCAGAUUGCCUCUACAACCUCAAAGAUCUUCAGAUCGGAAAAUGUGAGAAUCUGGAGCUGCAGCCUCAUCAAUUGCAAGGCCUCACUUAUCUUACUUCACUCAAGAUCACUAAUUGUGAGAAUAUCAAGAUGCCCUUAUCAGAAUGGGGCCUUGCCAGGUCGACCUCUCUUAAAACUCUCACCAUUUCUGAUUAUCACCACCACCACUCAUUGCUUCUUCCUACUACUCUAGCUGAGCUUUUCAUUUCAAGCUUCAAGAAUCUGUAAUCCUUGGCUUUCCUGUCUCUCCAAAGGCUCACCUCUCUUAAAAGGCUAUGCAUCUCCAGUUGUCCUAAUCUCCAGGGCUGUUUAACAUGCUUUCAGAACUAUUUAUAACAUAUUGACCACUCCUAAUUCAAAGGUGCUCAAAAGAGAAACGGGAAGAUUGGCCCAAGAUUGCCCACAUCCCCUAUGUGAAAAUAGAUGACAGAUUGAUCCUUUAGCAAUAAGGAGUUGAGAUUGCAGCAAAAUGUACGCAGAGACCAUUCCACUAUAUAUAUAUAUAUAUAUAUAUAUAUAUAUAUAUAUAUAUGCUUGGUAUUUUUUCUUCAGUGUGCCACAAUUCCUUUUUGUGCACAUUGGAUGUGAAGGAGAAAAUAAUGCAAAUGGAAUCCAAUUCUCUAACCAGAGGUUCAGCCAAUCAAAUUGAGUAUACUCUAUUUCAUUCAUAUCUUUUUUGACUUUAUGCAUUUCAAUUGCGUUGUCCUCAAGAAGCAUUCUUUUCUCAUAUAUCUCUAUAUAAAGUUCCGCAUUUUUUUUCCUUACGUGUUCAUAGAUAUGCAUUUAUCAACUUAGGCCAUGUUCUUAAUGCUUUUAAACCUAUGAUUUCACAUUUUCCCAUCACAGGAUUGGACCAUAUCUUUAUAAUUUUCCAUUAAUCAUCAUCUUUGUUCAACUCAAAGGUUUUUCAAGUGAGUAAUAAAGACUACAAAUGGUUAGAUAUCACUUUUUUCUUUGUCCUCUUGAUUGCCAUGCUUCUCUAUUUGGAAUUGGAUUCUUCUGUUUGUAACUUAUUUUUCGUUACAUUUUUAAUUGCAUUCCUUCUUACAAUAAUUCAGGAUUGACCUUUUCUCAAAAAUAAUUGUUCUUCUUCUUAGUCUCCUCUUCAGUUAAUGUAAGCAUCAAAUUUCUAUCUCUUUGUUAUAUAUGUCUUCCUUUUUCUCAUUACAUAUACAUGAGGAAGAUUUUUUGACUUCCAUUAUAAGUUUUCAAUAACUAUGUUUGCAUUUCUUUUUAUUUCAAGGAGAUUCAGGGGUGAAAAUUCUUUUGCAUUUGUCUUGACAUUUGGCGCUUAAAACUCUACAAUGGUGUUUGGUGUUGAAAAAGGGGUACUUCAUUGCAGAAUAAUGAAAGUGUAAAUAGUUCUUUACCAUCAAAAAAGGCUUCAUGGUUGUUAAGAUCCAUCUAAUUCCUUGUCCUUUUCUUGACAUGUUGUUCAAUUUGUGGAAGAUGUGGGAGGAGAGCUUGAAUCAAAUUAAGCCAACUCCUUGCAAAAGACGAAUUCUUGCUAAGAAACCUCACCACUCGCAAGUUCUUUCUUAUCCAAGAAUUCUACAGCAGGUAAUUCGAGAUUAUGUCUCAUCUUUCUAUUUCUUCAUGCUGGUGCACUCACUGAUUUCACUCGUGUUUUCAUCUGAUGGUGACCAACUCUUCCUCUUCUACACGCCAUUAUGUGAUAAUAAUCAGACCUCUCUGUCUUGCUUGAGUUCAAGCAGAGCUUUCUGAUUGGUCAGCAUGCUUCUGAUGAUCCUUCUGCUUAUCCGAAAGUUGCAGCUUGGAAAUCUGAAGGAGAUGGUAGUGACUGCUGCUCAUGGGAUGUCUUAAGAGUGUGACAAGGACACUGGCCAUGUGAUCCGCCUUAACCUUGGCAGCAGCUGUCCCUAUGGUUCUAUCAACUUCAGCAGCGCCUUCUUCCACCUUGUGCAUCUUCAAGGGCAUGAUCUCUCUAAUAAUGAUUUCAAUUACUCUAUGAUCCCAUCAGGAGUUGUCCAGCUUUUGAGUCUUAAGAAGUCUAAAUGACACCUCUCCUGGAUUCUCCGGCCAAAUCCCAUUGGAUUUCUUUGCACUGUCCAAACUGAUUGUCCUUGAUCUCUCACAAAAUCCAUUGAAGCACCAGUAACCUGACCUUGCUUCAGAUUCAGGGGUGAGAAGCAUUUCCUCCUUGUAAUACAAAAUGCUUUUGGGAAGCUGGUUGUAGCAUUCCUGGUGAAUGGUGUUUUGCUCUGUCAACUUGGUACACUUUCAGACUUGUUCUCUUGCAUAUCGUUGGACCAGCAUAAUAAUAAUAAUAAUAAUAAUAAUAAUAAUAAUAAAAUAAAAUAAAAUAUAAAUAUAAAUAUAAAGCUCAUUUAUGAAAAAGACUUAUUUUUCAAAAAAAAUUUCAAAAAAAAGUGGACGAAUUUAAUUUACAUUCCUUUUAUUAGACCCCAAUCAACUUAAGGGAAAAAGGCAAGCUUGAGUAUAACUCUUUUAAGUUAAAAAGAAGGAUUUGAAAGAAAAUCUCAUAUUGUUUGGUUGCGCUUAAAUUUGUUUUUAGAUUUAUUUUAAAAUUUUGAUAUAAAACUAAAAAAAAAUAUAGGAAUAAUUUAGAGUUGUUUAGAUGCAUCUCUUAUUUUUUUUAUUUUAAAUUAAAAAGAAUAAAAGUUUUUAUAUAAUAUAUACAAGAAUUUUUAGAAAAUUAAAUUAAAAAAUUAAUUGCCUUAAAAACUGUUUAAAAAUUUAAUGCAUAUUUUUUUCUUUUUCUUUUUUCAUAUUUUAAUAUUUUUUUAAAGUAAUUUAAAAAAAUAUAAGAGAAAUUUAUGUAUAUGUUUUUUAUAAGGUGUUUCUACUUUUAUAUAGAUAUUUAUAAUUUUUUUAAAAUAGAAAAUAUACUAAAAGGGUUACGUAGCCUUUUAUUUUAAAUACUUUUAAAAAAUAUUUAUGUUUAAAACCAUCAAAACGGCACCUUAGUGCGGAGCUCCGAUAAUUGUGAAAGGCUGCCACGGCUGCCAUGCUCUGCUUUUUCCUCAGGGCCCAUGACGGCAAAAUCCUACCGUUUAUGGAAAAAAAUAGGGUUGCUCUGCUUUUUCUUCAGUCGUGGGCCAUGACCGCAAUUGGAAUCCUACCUUUAAUAGAAAAAAGUAUAGGUUCCUUUUAUAGAAAAAAAAAGAGGGUUUUUUUAAUUCUAGAAAUUAAAUAACUUAAAUUAAUAAAUUAUAUAAUUUUAUAUUUUAUUUAUAUAUAAUAUUUAUUUAUUAUUAUAUUUAUCAAUUUAUAAAAUAAUAUAAAAUUUUUAAAUUUAAAUAUAUAAUUUUUUAUUAUUAAAAUAUAUUUUUUUAAUUUCAAUAAUAAUCUGUAAUUUAAUAUUUUUAAUUAAAAUUUAAAGAAAAAUAAGAAUUAAUUAAAACACAAUCGAGGCUUAGCUUAAAAAUGAACUCUCAUUGUAAAUUUCGAUUUAAUUUAAAAAUAAAGUUUUCGAUUAAGGUUUCAACUUAAAUUAAAAAAUAAAAAAUAAAAACUUUUAUGACAUGGCUCCGUGGCAAUGAAGGGGUAGGUGGGGGUUAUAAGUGACAUUUCAUUUUAUAAAAGGGUUAUUUUUUGCCCCAAAACUCCCUGUUUGAUUGCUGAAGCCUACACGAUUUGAUUUGCCCUUCCAGAACACCAUGGAAGUUGUUGGAGAGGCUCUUCUUUCCACUGCCCUCGGCUUGCUGUUUGACAAGUUGGCUUCCUCUGAUCUUAUUAAGUUCGCCCGGCAGGAGGAUGUCCACACCGAACUCAAGAAAUGGGAGAAGGAGUUGCAGAGCAUCCGGCAAGAGCUCAACGACGCGGAGGAGAAGCAGAUCACAGAUGAGGCUGUCAAAUUAUGGCUGUUUGAUCUGAGGGUUUUGGCGUAUGAUAUGGAGGAUGUCUUGGACGAGUUUGCUUACGAAUUGAUGAGAAGAAAGCUGAUGGGGGCGGAAGUUGAUGAAGCCAGCACAAGCAUGGUACGCAAGUUCAUUCCUACGUGCUGCACUAGUUUCAGUCCAACUCAUGUUGUGCGUAAUGUCAAGAUGGGGUCUAAGAUUAGAGGGAUCACAAGCAGAUUGCAAGACAUUUCAGCUAGAAAAGCUGGACUUGGCCUGGAAAAGGCGGCAGGAGGAGCUACUUCCGCUUGGCAAAGGCCACCACCCACUACACCUAUAGCAUACGAACCUGGCGUUUAUGGCAGGGAUGAAGAUAAAAAAGCGAUUCUUGAUUUGCUGCGCAAGGUUGGGCCCAAGGAAAACAGUGUUGGCGUCAUUUCCAUUGUUGGCAUGGGCGGUCUGGGCAAGACAACACUUGCACGACUGGUUUACAACGAUGAAAUGGCCAAAAAUUUUGACCUAAAAGCGUGGGUUUGUGUGUCUGACGUGUUUGAUGUGGAGAAUAUAACAAAAGCAAUUCUCAAUUCGGUGGAAAGUUCUGAUGCAAGCGGCUCGUUGGACUUCCAACAAGUUCAAAAGAAAUUGACAGACGAGUUGACAGGGAAAAAGUUUUUACUCAUUCUAGACGAUGUGUGGAACGAAGAUUCUGAUAAUUGGGAUCGAUUGCGUGCCCCUUUGAGUGUAGGGGCAAAAGGAAGCAAAGUCAUAGUUACAACACGCAAUAAAAAUGUUGCUUUGAUGAUGGGAGCUGCCGAGAAUCUUCAUGAACUAAACCCCUUGUCAGAAGACGCUUGUUGGUCUGUGUUUGAGAAGCACGCAUUUGAACAUAUAAAUAUGGAAGAUCAUCCAAACUUGGUGUCCAUUGGGAGGAAAAUUGUUGGCAAGUGUGGGGGAUUGCCCCUAGCAGCAAAAGCCCUUGGUGGUCUCUUACGCUCUAAACAGAGGGAAGAAGAAUGGGAAAGAGUAUCGAAUAGCAAAAUUUGGGAUUUUUCAAGCACGGAAUGUGAGAUUCUUCCUGCGUUGCGGUUGAGCUAUCACUAUCUCCCGUCAUAUUUGAAGAGGUGUUUUGCAUACUGUGCCAUGUUCCGCAACGACUAUGAGUUUGACUCAAAAACUUUGGUCCUCCUGUGGAUGGCUGAAGGUUUAAUUCAGCAACCAAUCGCUGACAACCGCACAAUGGAAGAUCUAGGAGACGACAAUUUUUGUGAAUUAUUGUCAAGGUCAUUUUUUCAAUCAUCAGGUAUCGAUGAAUUCCGUUUUGUGAUGCAUGAUCUUAUCUGUGAUCUAGCUCGAGUUGCUUCUGGUGAAAUAUGCUUUUGUUUGGAAGAUAACUUGGAAAGUAAUCGACAAUCCACAAUUUCCAAAGAGACUCGUCAUUUAUCAUUCAUUCGUGGAAAAUUCGAUGUGUUAAAGAAAUUUGAAGCCUUUCAAGAGUUAGAACAUUUACGAACAUUUGUGGCUUUACCAAUUCAUGGUACGUUUACAGAAUCUUUUGUAACUAGUUUGGUGUGUGAUCAUUUGGUGCCAAAAUUUCAACAGUUAAGAGUCCUCUCUUUGAGUGAAUAUGUGAUAUUUGAGCUACCAGAUUCUAUUGGUGGAUUAAAACAUCUACGUUAUUUGAAUUUGUCUUUCACCCAAAUCAAAUUAUUGCCAGAUUCAGUGACCAAUCUCUAUAAUUUACAAACAUUGAUACUAUCCAAUUGCAAGCAUCUUACAAGGUUGCCUUCCAACAUUGGAAAUUUAAUUAGCCUUAGACAUCUCGAUGUUGUUGGAUGUUCAUUGCAAGAGAUGCCACAGCAAAUAGGCAAAUUAAAGAAAUUGCAAACCUUGUCAGAUUUUAUUGUGGCCAAACGAGGAUUUUUGGGAAUAAAGGAGUUGAAGGAUUUGUCAAAUCUGCGGGGGAAGAUAUGCAUUUCAAAAUUGGAAAAUGUUGUGGAUGUUCAAGAUGCUAGAGAUGCCAAUCUAAACACUAAGCUCAAUGUUGAAAACUUGAGUAUGAUUUGGAGUAAAGAAUUGGUUGAUUCACAUAAUGAAGACACUGAAAUGGAAGUCCUCCUCUCUCUACAACCUCAUACCAAUCUGAAGGAACUCAGGAUUGAAUAUUAUGGUGGUCGAAAAUUCCCAAACUGGAUGUGUGAUCCCUCUUACACUAAAUUGGUUGCGUUAAGUCUUAUUGGUUGUAUAAGAUGCAUAUCACUACCUUCCGUUGGGCAACUACCCCUCCUCAAGAAGUUAGUCAUCAAAAAAAUGGAUGGAGUGAAAAGUGUGGGACUGGAGUUUGAGGGUCAAGUUUCUCUUCAUGCUACGCCUUUCCAAUGCUUAGAGUCUUUGUGGUUUGAGGAUAUGAAGGGAUGGGAAGAGUGGUGUUGGUCAACAAAGUCAUUUUCUCGCCUCCGUCAGUUGGAGAUAAAAAAUUGUCCAAGAUUGAUUAAGAAAUUACCCACACACCUAACUUCUCUAGUAAAGCUCAAUAUUGAGAAUUGCCCAGAAAUGAUGGUUCCACUUCCAACAGACUUGCCUUCUCUUGAAGAGCUCAAUAUUUAUUAUUGCCCAGAAAUGACACCACAAUUUGACAACCAUGAAUUUCUCAUUAUGCCACAGAGGGGAGCGAGUAGAAGCGCAAUUGACAUCACCUCACAUAUUUAUUUGGAAGUUAGUGGAAUAUCAGGACUUUCCAGACUUCAGCCGGAGUUUAUGCAGUCCCUGCCGAGGCUUGAACUUCUAGAAAUUGACAAUUCUGGUCAGUUGCAAUGUUUGUGGCUGGAUGGGUUGGGAUUAGGGAACCUCUCUCUUCUUCGAAUAUUGGGUUGUAACCAACUUGUAUCCUUGGGAGAGGAGGAAGAGCAAGGGCUGCCUUACAAUCUUCAGCGUUUGGAAAUAUCUAAGUGUGAUAAGUUGGAGAAGCUUCCACGUGGAUUACAAAUCUAUACAUCUCUUGCAGAGUUGAUCAUUGAGGAUUGCCCAAAACUGGUGUCAUUUCCAGAGAAGGGUUUCCCGCUCAUGCUUAGAGGUCUUUCUAUUUGUAAUUGUGAAAGUCUAAGUAGUCUACCUGAUAGGAUGAUGAUGAGAAACAGCAGCAACAACGUGUGUCACCUUGAAUACUUGGAGAUAGAGGAGUGUCCAUCUCUUAUUUGCUUCCCAAAAGGGCGGUUACCCACCACCCUUAGGCGACUAUUCAUAUCCAAUUGUGAAAAUCUAGUGUCUCUUCCAGAAGACAUCCAUGUGUGUGCCCUUGAACAGUUAAUUAUAGAGAGGUGUCCAUCUCUCAUUGGUUUUCCAAAAGGUAAGCUACCCCCCACUCUCAAGAAGCUUUAUAUACGGGGGUGUGAAAAGCUAGAGUCUCUACCAGAGGGAAUAAUGCAUCACCAUUCCAACAACACAGCCAAUUGUGGUCUUCAAAUCUUGGAUAUCUCACAAUGUUCAUCUCUCGCAUCCUUUCCUACUGGCAAGUUUCCCUCUACCCUUAAAUCUAUUACGAUCGAUAAUUGUGCACAGUUGCAGCCAAUUUCGGAGGAGAUGUUUCACUGUAAUAAUAAUGAACUUGAAAAGUUGUCCAUCUCGAGACACCCUAAUCUCAAAACCAUACCAGAUUGCCUCUACAAUCUCAAAGAUCUUCGGAUUGAAAAAUGUGAGAAUCUGGACUUGCAGCCUCAUCUAUUGCGAAACCUCACUUCUCUUGCAUCACUUCAGAUCACUAAUUGUGAGAAUAUCAAAGUGCCCUUAUCAGAAUGGGGCCUUGCCAGAUUGACCUCUCUUAGAACUCUUACCAUUGGUGGCAUAUUUCCAGAAGCCACCUCCUUUUCUAAUCACCACCACCACUUGUUUCUUCUUCCUACUACUCUAGUUGAGCUUUGCAUUUCACGUUUCCAGAAUCUGGAAUCCUUGGCCUUCCUGUCUCUCCAAACGCUCACCUCUCUUAGAAAGCUAGAUGUCUUCCGAUGUCCUAAGCUCCAGUCUUUUAUGCCAAGGGAAGGGCUGCCUGACAUGCUUUCAGAACUGUAUAUAAGAGACUGCCCACUCCUAAUUCAAAGGUGCUCAAAAGAGAAAGGGGAA